rnacentral:lncRNA from 1 species
GAACUUGAAAGGAUGUGGAUGGAUGACUUCAACCCCACCCAAAUUAAUACUAUAAUAAUUAAUAAUAAAGUGUGAUGCAGGAAGAACCUACCGCACCCUCCCCUUUAAUGGAUAGGUGAGUAAUAGUAGCGAGUUUUGAUAUAUGGCUAUAUAACCCAGUACUAGUAAAGAAGAAUAGAGGAGAUCUAGAGAGAAAGAGAGAGCAAAUGGAAGGUAUUGAUGUGUCUUCCUUGUUUGUUUUUGAAGGCAGUGGAGACUCUGAUGAUAAGGAAGAUUGUGAAGAAGAUGAUGAUCACUCACUUGUGACAAUCUGCUGUAUUAAUAAUGCAGCAGCAGUUGAUGAUGCAGAGUCAUCAAGCAGCAAGAUUACACUAGGGUUUGAAGAUCAGGUUGAUGAGUCUGAUGAUGGAGAUGAGGUAAGAGAUUCCAGCGAUGAUCACAGCGGGAGCAGAUUGGGAGGGUUUGUGGGAAGAGAGGAGGAGGAAGUCAACUCAGGUGGAGUUAGGAGAAAGGAGAUGAUGGAGGAUAUGGAAAACAAGCUAUUUUGGGAGACUUGCUUGGAACAAGGGUACCCAUGAAAUUCUCUGUAUUUUUGUAUUUAUUUAUUUUUGUUAUUGAUGAUGGCAACUUUUUACCUUUUUACCUUUUUCUUUUCAAUUACUUUUUGGAAUUUUCUUCUAAACAAGCAAUUUGAUUGGGAAAUUUUAUAAUAGUGGAGGCUAGGGUCAUUCAUUCAAAUUUAUAGGAGGAUUAUGAAAAUCUUCUGUAUUUAUAAAUGAAUGUUUUAUAUAUAUAUAUAUUAUCAACCUUAUGUCAUUAGCAAAGCAUAAGAGCCUUGAUUUUAUUUUCUGUUCGAUGUAGUGUCCACCUUGAAAAAUCUCUCUCUCUCUCUCUCUCUCUCUCUCUCUCUCAUGUUAAAGCUUACACAAAUUUGAUAAAUCUAGUUUAGUGGUAAAGUUAUUUCCUUCUUAUAAGAAAGCUUUGAUUCCAUGCCCCUCCUCCUAGCCUUUCUUGGCUCCCCCUUAAAUUGGAGUGAUCAAAAUGACAACCAAUUUUUGUAACUUUAAUUUAAGAUUGCAGUUAGGAACCCAAUUAAUUUAUGCAGGAUGUCAUGUGAAGAUUUUUAUUCAACAUUUGAAAACCUUGUUGCUAUAUUUGGUUCUAGAAUUUUUUUAAAAAAUUAUGAAAAAAGGUAAAUAAAAAGGAUUCAUGGUAUUCUAUGGGAACAAACAUAAUCUCUCUAUUAGGUAUUGAUUAUUAUUUUAUGGCUAAGCUAGAUACUAACUCAAAUCAUGAUAAGAGUAACCCUAAUUUCCUUGAUUAGUGUAUUUAUAUUUAAGUAAGGUUCGGACUUUAAAUUAACACAUACUAAGGGGAAAAUGUAUUAAUUCGGUACAACCUAACUUAGAGAAAAUAAUAUCGAUCGAUCUUUAUAUAUAUAUAUAUAUACUUUUUAUUUUAAAAAUUAUUCCUUUAAAAAAAUAAUAAUCAUCCAUCGCUAUCCUUGACUUAAAAGUUUAAUAAUUUAUCAUUUGAAAAUUAUUACUUAAUAGAUUAAUAGUAGCCUUAAAAAUGAUUUACUUCACAUCUUCAAAGUAAAUUACAACCUUAAAAGUCACAAAAGAUACUUUGUUUGUCACCUUAAAAAUGAUUAAUAUUUUAACUUCAAAUUUUUUUAUUCAUUCAAAACCACAAUGUUGGUUGAGACGCUUAAUAUUAAUACUAGUUUGAUAUGCUUCUUAUCUUUUGUUUUUAAAAUAAUAAUAACUUCGAUAUAUGAUAAUAUAAGAAUCUUUUGAAAUUUAUCCUAAAAUGAUAAUGACUUUAAACUAUUUAAAAGGUUGAAGGGCUAAAAUUUUAUUAUUUCUCUCAUUUUAAAAUUAUAAUUUUAAAAGUAAUAAUUUUUUGGUACAUAAAGUAUAAAUAAAUACUUUUUAUAUAAAAAUUAUUAUAUUUUACUUGGAAUUUAUUCUUAGUUUUUAAUUUUAAAAAUAAAAAACAAGAAGUGUAUCAAAUCUAACAUCAUUUCUAUUAUUAAUGGUCCCCUAAAAUAGAAAAAAAAAAUCAUAAAAAGAAAAGAUUAAUUUCAAUUGAAUCCCCUAAAUUUGGGUUUGGUUUAAAUAUAUUUAACCAUUAUUGAUUUCAGAUUUCAUUAGUUAGCACUAUAAGAUAUGGAGAUCCUUUUCACGGUUUUAGUACAAGAUGAUAAUUUUAAGUAAAUUUUUUAAAAAUAAAUGCAUUUAAUAAGUUUAUAAAAAAAAUUUAAUCUAAAAAAUAAAUUUUAUAUAUAAACUACGUAUAAUAGGGGUGGUAACUGGUAACUCACGGACCAUGCUCCAACCAACCCAAUUACAAAGAAAAUAGAGAGCUGGAAAGAAAACGUGGAUUCCCACCGCAAGUCUUAUUAUAAGGAGGUUAGACAUUGGCUCCGUUGCAGAGAAGCUAAGCACCAUUAAUCAACCCACAAUGCAUUGAUAAUUAAACCCCCAUAAUAUGAGCUGUAUCUACACAUAGUGUAUAUAUAUACUUGUCGUCAGCUGGAUUAGCGGGGAGUGUGAACUAAGGUACACCGUCAUUGGCUCGUGACUCUACAUAUUCAUAAUAAUAGCAAUAAUAUAUGAUGUUAUAGGAGCUUAUGAUAUGAUAAUAAUAUGACCGACCAGUGCCAAGCAGGAGCAGUAGUUAUGUGCUCAUUGAAUCACUCAUUGCUCCCAUGCUUUGUGGGAUUAGAAAUCCAAAUAACGCGGUUAAGUCACCGUUCAAAAUACGAUGCAUGACACUCUUUUAUUGUUAUCUACGUCUUGUUUCAUCAAUGACUUUAGGGAUGGCAAUGGGCGGGUAUGAGACGGGUCAUCCCUACCACAUUUCCGUCCCUGUUAUAUAAUUUUUUUCUCAUCCCCGUUCCAAACCUGGGGCGAGUUGGUGACCCCCUGCCCAUUUAUAAAAGAACUGAUAAUCUCAUCUCCGUCCCAUGGGUCUCUGGAAUUUCAACUAAUAAUACUAUCUAGGUUCUCAUAUUUAAGCUACAAAGAACCUCUUUCAAAAUGAUUCAUAUUUCGAUGACACUCAUAUUAUGUUGUCUCUUCAUCCACAUUUAAUCAAGCAUUUGUUGUGCAACAAAACUGCAAAAUGCACAGAUUUACAAAUAAACAAUCCAAAAAAUCUAAAAUCCAUAAACUAAAACCAGAAAAAUAUAAAAAAUAAGAUAUUUUUAACAAAGCCUCAAAACUUAGGGUUUUCUUAUCUGAAAAUGAGGAAUCCAUAGAAACCCUAAUAAUUUGUUGUCUAUGAAUUUGGUAUUUUGGUUUUUAGAGCAAAAAUUACGCUUUUAGGGUGAAACGGGAAAAAAUGAUUAAGGAAGAAAUGAGAAAACGAGAAGAAAUGAGAGAACGAAAGCUCUCUUACUAUCUUCCGAGUGAAAGAACCCUAGAUCUUGAGGAAGAAAUGAUUAUAUAUAUAGAGGACUUUUUGGGUAUUUUGUAAUGCUAUAAUGAUAAAUUGGUAAUUCAUAUACGAGGUGGGGCAUUAACUGCAAAACCCAUCCCCGCCCUGAACCUGAUUCGGGUUUUUAUAUACUCCCCAAACCUGUUAUAUACCCGAAUAGGAUAUUCUCAUAUCCGCCCCAAUAGGGGCGGGUGACCUGAUUUACCCGUAAAAUUGCCAUUCCUAAACAACUUUCCUCAAACUUUGACAUUUGCUCCUUUGUAUAUGUUUAAGUUCCUUGGAUUAAUCAUAGAUAGCAUGUUUUCUUUUUGUUUUUAAAAAUCGAUAAAAACAAUUCUUAUUUGUUCUUUACAAAUUAUUUUUUAUUUCACUUUAUUUUUAAAAAUUAUUUUCAAAGAAUAACCUCUAAAUAACAUUAGAAAAUUUUAAAAACAAAAAAUUAUUUUUAAAUCAUAUGACCAAAUAUGGUCUAUGUUUUAGAAAAACAGUUUUUUUUUAUAUAUAUUUUUAAUAAUAUGAAAUAAGAAAUGUUUUUUCAAUAAUAUAUUUUAGUUGUUUUUAUUGUUAAUUUAUUUUAUGAGAAGUGUUGUUUUAUAAAAUAGUUAUAUAAAUAUGAAGAAUAAUUUAAAAUAAAUUAAAUACUAUACAUAAAAGUUAUUUUUAAAAAAUAUUUGAAAUUAUAAGAAUCAUGUUAAAAAUAUUUCAAAAUUUUAAACCGGUUUUUAUUUUACAAAACAUUAUAUAAUGGAUUUAAAAAGAAUUUUUAAGAACUAUUUUUCAGUAUUGUACCAAAAUUAUGGUCUAUUUGGGAAUGUAUUACAAUAAAGAAUCGGAAUUAAGCUCAAACUAGUGAAUGACUUUCAGAAAUAAUCAUUUCCAACUAAAACUUGAACUGGAAACUCAAAUUAAAAAUAAAAUAACACAAACUGUGCUCUUCGGAUCAGUAUUAAUUAGCUAUGUCCUUGUAAAGGGAGCCUUAGUUAGAAGACAAGACGGGCAAAGUUGUGAGAUGCAAGUAUGCAACAACCCUUUUGUAAGUUGUAGCAAUUAAUCUCUCUCUCUCUACACACACUAAUGUCAUAAAUUUUGUACAAGAUUUUCUCUCUCUCUACACACAUUAAUGUCAUAAAUUUUGUACAAGGUUUUAUCUCUCUACACACACUCUCUCUCUCUAACAAGGUUUUCUCUCUCUCUCCACACACACACACACACGCUUCUACACACACAAAUGUCAUAAAUUUUGUACAAGGUUUUCUCUCUCUCUACACACUAAUGUUAUAAAUUUUGUACGAGGGUCUCUCUUUCUCUCUCUCCACACACACACUAAUGUCAUAAAUUUUGUACAAGGUUCUCUCUCUCACACACACACACGGGGGUUUUCUCAUGGUGGUUGCUGGUGAGGGAUACCUAUAUAAGGUGUUCUAUGGCUAGUUCUUCAUCCGACCAACACGCGCACGCGCACACACACACGCACGGUUUUCUCAUGGUGGUUGCUGGUGAGGGAUGCCUAUAUAAGGUGUUCUAUGGCUAGUUCUUCAUCCGACCAACAGAGAACAUUCUGAGAAUUGUUUGUCUAGUAUUUGAAGAUGAGGCCAAGCUUUGUUUCCAUGCUUCUAACUCUUGUAGUCUGUACAGUUGUUGGGGUUUGCAAUGGACAAGAUCAGCUGAGGAUGAAGUUUUAUCAUAAGAGUUGUCCUUCAGUUGAAACCAUUGUAAGGGAUAUCACAUGGAGCAAGGUUGCAGCUAGCUCUAUCCUGCCAGCCAAGCUACUAAGGCUUCAUUUCCAUGACUGUUUUGUUCGGGUAUCCGUCUUUUUUAUUUCCCUCUAUCUUGAAUUCAAUUGCAGGUUUUAAUGUGUAACACAUAUAUGUUGCAGGGCUGUGAUGCAUCAGUGCUAUUGGAUUCAACUAAAAAUACGACUGCUUAGAAAGAAGCGUUACCGAACCGGUCAUUGUCAGGAUACGAUGUUAUUGAUGAUAUCAAAGCUAAAAUUGAAGAAGAGUGUCCUGGAGUGGUUUCAUGUGCUGAUAUCCUGGCUCUGGCUGCUCGGGAUGCUGUUUCGUACCAAGUAAGUUCCGAGCUUAAUCAAAAUUGAGAGUAAAUUAAUGAAGUAACCAAACCCUUUUUUUAACUAAAAAGAUCAUUGUGAAGUUACUCACAGUUGUAAUUAACACCAUGGAACUGUAUAUGCAGUUCCAAAGACCCAUGUGGCAGGUUCUAACCGGGAGGAAAGACGGAAGAGUUUCGCUUGCCUCGGAUAUCCCUGGCAACUUACCGCCACCCACAGCAGACUUCACAUCUCUCCAGCAGCUCUUUGCAAGCAAAGGGCUAGACGUUAUGGAUCUUGUAGCCUUAUCAGGUAAAAAAAAAAUGUAUUUUUUUGUAAAAUCAUGGUGCUUAUUUCAUUAUAUAACUUUUUAUACUACUGAAAGAAUCAAAAUUAUGUAGGGGCACAUACAAUUGGAGUGUCACAUUGUAGUGUGAUUGCAAGGAGGCUAUACAAUUUCACAGGAAAAGGGGAUGCGGAUCCUUCACUCGAACCAGAUUACGCAAACAAGCUAUGGAGGGAGUGUGGAAGCCCUCUUAAUCCAUCAACAACUGUAGACAUGGACCCUGACCAGAGCUCACUCUCCUUUGACAGCCAUUACUUCAAGAUUGUCAGCCAAAACAAGGGCCUGUUUCAGUCUGAUGCAACGCUGCUCACCAACCCCCAGUCGGCUCAGAUGGUAGAAAUGCUACAGCAUGGCCGAUUAUUUUUUGUGCGCUUUGCUCAAUCGAUGAAGAAGAUGGGAGGUAUUGGUGUACUUACUGGAGAUGAAGGAGAGAUUCGGAAGCACUGUAGUCUUGUUAAUGCCUGAACCUUGGUGGCCUCAGUAAUAUUAAUUAAUGUCUGUUUGUUGGAUUGGUAUUAAUUAAAAUUAUUGUUCUUCUUGUUGUGGCAAUGAAUUUGGGUAAUCAAAUGUGGUCUUUGCUGUGUACUAGCAACAAAACUAAUAUUGAAUUGAGUGAUUUCGGAACAAUUGAUCUUGCUACCAUGCAUACGGAUCGAGUCAUGUAUGUAAAGAGACUGAACGAGUCAUGUUCCACCGAAUUUUCUUUCCUGCUAUCCACAAUGAGGAACUGUCCUUGAGAAGUGAUCCUUUUUUUUAUGAAUAUUAGUUAGCUUUACAUAUAGAUGUUAUACCAUCCUUUUGUUAUAUGAGCUAGCCUGUGAGAGGCAGGGCGAAGACUUCUGAGAGGGAAAACUUCUGAAUUCAAACCAAGCAGCGUUGACAAUAAGCUCAAUUAAAUGUUACAAUUUGGUUCUCAGAACGAUGCCCAUAAGAAAGAGUGGACUUCUCCCGUCCAGAGUCUUAUAUUUAAUUUUGGAUUUUUGUUGAAGUAGGCAAUCAACCAUUUCAAACACCCAUAGUGUUGCUUUGAUCUUGAUUGACUCUCAAAUAUCUAUUGAUAAACUCAGUCAAGAUUUUUAAAAAUCUGAGUCAUGACACUAACACUACAUUUGAUUUCAAUCAAAUGCUAGGGAUAGGAAAGAAAAAGUUAAAUGAAAUCGAUUUGUUUUAUGUUUGGUUUAAUUAUAAAAAUUAUGAACAUAAAUGUAAUUAAAAUUAUUUAGAAACUUAUAUCUUGAUACACGGCCAAAUGAUUGUCUUGGGCACGUCCCUCCUAUGGCUAAGUUUGAAUCAUUUUCAAGAAGAGUUUUGGUAUGGGUUUUUUGUGUAUACCUUUUGUUCUCAAGGUUUGAUGCUCUUUUAUAGGGGAGGGAUCUCAUAACGUUGGUUGUACCUUUAUGAUUAAUAUUUUUCACGACUUCAAUGCUCAUUUGCCCAUAACGACCAAUUAUUUUGUCAUCAUAAAUGAUCAAUCAUUAUAGGUUUAUGUAACGAUUACUUGUCCUAAUCAACGUUUGGCUAGGUUUUAGGUUGGAUGAAUAAUGCAUAUCCCCAAGGCCAACAUUGUAUAUUCUUAAAUUAUUUAAUUUUUAUGAAAAGAAAAUCAAUUUGAUAAUUUAUUUAAUUUCAAAUUUAUUUCUUUUAUUUUUUCUUUUCUUUUAUUUUUCAUAUUUAUUUUCUUUUCCUUGUAUCUUUUUUCAAAGCUUACAGGACCAAACGUGACCUAAGUGAUUCAACCAUUAUGUAUUUUUAUUUUUUUUACGACUAAGUUAAACAACUCUACAUAUUUUCCAAAGAAGGAAGUUAAUUAAUAUAUAUGGCAUUGGUUCAUGUGUUUGAGGCCAGGCUGGUUUAUGGACUUCCAUGGGCUAGACUUAGUCCAUCUAAUUAAACCCAGGACACAGAAUACAAAAAUGUGCGAAUAGUCUAGGAUAAGAAUUGCGUUCAAACUUCGAAGUCAAAGAAACCAAGGGUCUGAUCCGGGCAACCCUUUAAAUAAUCAGCGAGAAUCAUGGCGCCGCGUGCCACUGCUGUGGCAAAUGAACGUGAUUAAAUAAGAAAACGUUUGGAUUUGAACUAAACUAGGAAUAUGGCCACUACCUUCUCCAUUCUCCUUCAUCUAAAUGAAUACCUAACCCAAACAAGAAGAUUUCAAAGGAACAGCUCCUAUCCUUGAAUGUCAAGUGUUCAGCAUGUGACGUAUACGUCACUCUUAUUUUCUAGUGACAAUGGUUAUCUAGGUCUAUCUUCACAUCCCUAUAUUGAACAAUACUAUAAUUAUUUAUUUGGAUCAUUGGACUUCAUGAUGAGGCCGCCAUUCUCAUGCAUUCAACUUCAAGGAAGGAGCUCAAAACCAUUAAACAAUAAUAAGGGUGGAAAAUUGCCAUCGCUUUGAAAACAUAAAAAAAUUAAUGAAUGUUUGAAAAAACCCACAAGCAAAGCCUAGGGCUAAGGGCAAGUUGAGGUGAUUAUCUAUUCUCCUCUCUAACAACCCUAGAUCUCUCAACCUCUCAUGGGUUGAUAAUGAUUUGAUUUGCCUAUAAAAGGAACUCUGAUGGGGGCUGAGCUUGUGUGCCUUUGCUUUUCUUACUACUUCUGACUACUUGUUGUAUUACUUGCUAGGUGUUUUUUUUCUUGCUUGCCUUCAACAAGAAUGAGGUCAGCUAGAGAAUGCCUUCUCAUUCUCUUGGUUUCUCUUCUUGUAUUUGGAGUGGUUCGAAUUUGCAAUGCAGAUGGGUUGAGGAAGAACUUCUAUAAGCAGACCUCAUGUCCACAAGCUGAGAAUGUUGUAAGGAACCUUACAAGGAUCAAGGUUCAAGCUAACCCUGCUCUGGCUGCUAAACUGAUUAGAAUGCAGUUCCAUGACUGCUUUGUUAGGGUAUAAAGCCCAUCACCCCCUUACGCAUUUUCAGAUAAAAUGGGAAAGUACCCAUUUGAAAAGCAUAGUCCCUUUUUUCUGAUGUUCAUCACAUUGUUUGUUGAAAUUGUGGCUGCACUGCAGGGGUGUGAUGCAUCUAUACUAUUGGAUAGAGUCGGUACUGAUCAGACUGAGAAGGAUGCAAGACCCAAUCUUUCACUCUCAGGUUACGAUGAAAUCAAUGAUAUAAAGUCCAAACUUGAGCAGGCUUGCCCAGGAGUGGUUUCCUGUGCUGAUAUUCUCGCCUUGGCUGCUCGUGAUGCUGUCUCCUUCCCAGUAAGUACUUCACCAUCAAUAUAUAUAUGUAUAUAACUAACUAGUCUUGGCUGCAUGCAUGCAGUAGUACUAGGAAAUAUCAGAAGAAACCUUAACAUUCCUACAUUAAUUUUGCAGUCCCGAACCCCCUUGUGGGAUGUUCUUACUGGAAGAAGAGAUGGAAACGUUUCUCUAGCCUCUGAAGUCAAUGGAAACAUACCUUCACCCUUCUCAGACUUCUCCACUCUCAAACAACUAUUCGUCAAGAAAGGUCUUAAUGUCAACGAUCUAGUGGCACUCUCAGGUAUAUAUACAAUUAAAUUCUUAAUCAGCCAUAGACCUUGUUACAACUACUGCUGAUAUAUACUUGAUCAGGCGCACACACCAUUGGGUUUGCCCACUGCGGCACUUUCUCGAGGAGGCUCUACAACUUCACAGGCAAAGGCGAUGCAGACCCUUCACUGAAUGCAACCUACAUUGAAUCACUCAAGGCACAGUGUCCAAAUCCAGCCAACGCCCAAACAACCGUGGAGAUGGAUCCUCAGAGUUCAGGCUCGUUUGACAGUAGUUAUUUCAAUAUCCUUGUCCAGAAUAAGGGUCUCUUCCAAUCCGAUGCUGCAUUACUCACAGACAAGGCUUCCAGCAAGACAGUGCAACAGCUGCGAAAACCCAGGGCUUUCUUGGACGAGUUUGGUAAGUCCAUGAAGAAGAUGGCGGCUAUAGGAGUGCUUACGGGAAAGGCUGGAGAGAUUAGGAAACAGUGUGGGGUAGUAAAUUAAUAUUAAGUUUGAUUGCUAGAUCUUGAAUCAUUUAAGGUUUAAUGGUACCUUCAUCUGAAGGAUGAUGAAUAAUAUCCAUGUAUUGUAAUUUUUUUAUAUUGUUGAUCAGAAAUAGAAAUAAGUCAUGUCCAUUCUAUUACCUGGAAAUCCAUUCUUUGAUACACAAAACUCGAACUUAUUUGAUCCAGAAAAAAAUAGUAUUUGAGAACAGUUUUUAAAAUCUAUUUAAAAAUUUAAAAUAUUUUCAAUUUAUUACAUACGUUUUGAAAUAUUUCUUAAAAAUAAAAAUAUUUAAUUAAAAUUGAUGAAAUAACACAUGAGGAGACAUAAUUUUUAUGUAUAAAAAAUGGUACAUAUAAUCCAAUUUUACAUUUUUGCCCUUAAAUUUUUCAUUCAACAAGUACUCGAAGAGAGAUGAGAAUAAAAAAUUGUUGAAUAAUAUUUUGGUCCAAAUGAGGUUAUAUUUCAUGUUUUUAAAAAAGAGAUUAUUCUUUCAAAUUUGUGUUUUUGAAUUUUUUUUUUAUCAAAUAACCCUAAAAAUAAUAUUUUUCUACCAUGCUUUAUUUUAAAAUCAUUUUUCAUAAAACAAGUGAAAAUAAUUAAAAUAUAUUCUAAAAAAAUAUUAUAUCUUUAGAAUGAUUUCUUAAAAAACCAUUUUUUAUUAAAUAUAUUCUUAAAUUUAAAAAAAAUCCCAAAAAAGCUCUAAGAUGCUUCUGAUAUGAUAUAAAAAAUGUCAGUCAAUGAGAAAAAACUUAUAUAGUUAAAAAAAAUCUUAUUACUUUAUAUCCUUGCAUUGAUACUAUUUUUUUAUAUUCAUGUUUUUUUUUUCUUUUAAUAUUUUGAUCUUGUUUCUUAAAAUAUUUGAAUGGCUCAAAUUUUGAAUUGAGUAUGCCUUUUUUUUUUCAAUACAUUAAAAAAAAAAUUCUACAAUAUUUACAAAUUAUAUUCAAUUUUUUUUUUCAUAUUUUUCAUGAAUGCGAUUUAGAAUGAUAUUAAGAUGAAGGGAAAUAAAUUCAAACCCUAACGUUAGACAAUAGCAUAUUUGAAUGAAAAAGAACAAAAAACCAAUGACAUGUUUGUAGAUUUGGAGUUUGAUAUAUAAUGACCUGAUUGAAAUCCCUUAGGCUAUGUUUAAUUCCUGGAAAGUUUUAAGGAAAUAAAAAAAAUAUUAAGGAAAAUAAUUUUUUCAUAUUUGGUUUCAUCAUAAAAAAUUUUAAAGAAAAUUAAAUAUACUUAAAUUUAAUUAAAAUUUUAUGUAUUUUAAAAUUAUUUAAUCUUUAUAUAAUAGAGCAAACUAAGUGAAAUAAGUUUGAAAAAACAUAUAAAAAUAAGUUAUUGAUUUUGAAUUUAUUUUUUAGUUUCUUUUUUUUUUUCCACUUUUCCUUCCUAAUUUUUUGCCCUCACAUUUUCCCACGAAUUUUCCAAAACCAAACAUAGUUACAAAUUGAAAAUCUCUGCAAAAUUUUGAAUUUGAAGAUGGUCAAAGUAACUGCUUUAACCAACUCUACACAUUUACCGAAUUACCCUUUCAUUUUCUUUCUCGUCACCUUCUCUUUUCCACACUUGCAAUGGCAAAUGACAAGGAAAAAAAUGAAGAGAAAGUAAGAUUUUCUUCAACCCAUUUUGAAUCUUCGAUUUUUCCUUCAAAUUUAUAGUCAUGAAAUUGCAUUGUUUCAUCCUCUUUCCCACACACAGGUGGUGGUUGCAGAAUUCAGUGUCUCAAUGCACUGUAAUGCAUGUGAAAGAAGCGUUGCCAAGGCCAUCUCCAAGUGUAAAGGUCUCUCUCCAUGUCCCCAACUUUCAAUUCAACAAUUUUCAUGGAAGUUCUACUAAUUUAUUUUAAUUUUUUUUCAAGGGGUGGAGAAGUUUACCACAGACAUGAAGAAACACAAGGCGACAGUGAGAGGGGCGAUCAAUCCUGAGAAAAUAUUGAAGAAACUAAAGAAGAAGACGGGGAAGAGGGUAGAGAUUCUGGUCACUGAAGAAGAAAAAGAUGAUGAGUCCAGUGAUGACGAUGAAUCGAGAGAGAAUACUGUGGAGUCAUUGAUAAGUUGGGACUGGACAGACAGUGCGGCGUUUGAGAUGUUCAACGAGGAGAAUGCAAAUGCAUGUUCGGUAAUGUAGAGAGGAAGAAUUUUCGACUUAGUACUGUUGCAUUGGGAGGUUUGUCUCUUGUGUAAUUAUCUUCGAUUCAUGAAUAGUAGUGUGUACUUGAAUAUAGUUGAAUUCAUUGAAUAUUAUAGAAAUUCUCCAAUUUGAUCUCUUAAAGUAAACGUGAAAGACAUUAUUAAUGAUUUUCUACCAAAAAAUUAGAGUAUCAAAAAGGCAUUUAUUGUAAUUGAAUUCAUUAUUUUUCAUAUGUAAUCAUCAUUUGUAUAUAUAUUGAGGCGGACAAACACUAAGAUGGAAUAGGCCUACUAAUAUGCCCAACGUACUUAUUGCAAUAUGAUGAGAGGUUAUUCCUUUCGGAAUAAAAUGAUCAAAACCCUCUAUUGAAUUUGAAGAUUAUAUUUUAUUGCAAUAUGAUGAGAGGUUAUUCCUUCCGGAAUAAAAGGAUCAAAACCCUCUAUUGAAUUUACAGACUAUAUUUUUUCAGUUAACUCAUAAGCGUCAGACACCUAGAUUUCGGGACCAUACAAGCCAAUUACAUAAAAGGCAUCAAAAUCAAAGCAAGUCCAUCGUGAUAAAAAUAAAUGAAUUCAUCUCAUAUAAAUCCAAAGAAAAUGAAAUUAUCAUAUGAAUAAUAAAAUUAAGAUACCAAAUAAGCAUGAUUAAAGUAUAAAAUAAUAAAAUUUAGAUAUGACUAUGAUGCAUAAGGAUGAUAAUAGGAUAGGUUGAAGACUCUCAUCCUCGUAUCAACCUCAUCCUCUAUAAGCAUGAUAAUACAAUCCACAAACGAGAUAAAAUCAUAUUGCAGGUUUAGAAAAUUUUGCAAAUUCGCCUUGAAUCCGAUUCAUACCCAAAAAACCUGUCCGGGUGACGUCUGAUCUGGUCGUAUUUUCAGAUAGACAUCCAGUCCAGUCGGAUCGAUCACUAGUCAAAGAACUUGGGCGAAGCUGGAUUCUUUUCUGGGACAAUUUUCUCUCUUUCGGCGUGUUGAGACUCACAGUUAUCUUCUUACACUCGCCACGGCGUUGACAUGUGUUUGUGGCGGCCCACGUGAAUUUCAAUAAAGCCCGUCUUACAAGUCACCGCCCAAUUCCACUAAGCUUCAGGAGCUAAUCAAUCGACAUCUUUAAGUCAACUAAUCGAUUAGCCAUGAAACACGUACAGAGAAUGUUUAUCCAUCACUUUGAGGAUAUAAGGCCCUUUUGUUGGGGAUAUGUCAGCAAUAGAAUUGAGGUAAUAUGGGAACUAAUGAAUCAUACAGAGGUGAAAGCAACCGACCGUGUCCUAUCAUGGCAUCCUUUCAAAAAAAGAAACCCAACAUCUUUUGGGUGUCUUUUAAUAUUCCAUUUUGGUUGAAACACUUAGCAUUUUUUACUUCUCUACAUUAUCAAGCAAAUAUUUAUUGUAUGGAUAGAAAAAAUAUCAAGAGGUUGUGAUGCUUGGAUGCUUUUGUUUAAUGGGAAUCCGUGUAGGGACUCAAGAAUUCAACACUACCCAACACUUUUUUCUUGAGCAUUCAUAUUCAGAGUUGAGAUCUGAGGGAGAUUCAAUUUCUAUAUUAAGCACUUUCAAGCCUUAUUGCUGACACAAUUUCUUUAUAUUGAAGAAGGUUAAAUUCUGAGAGUUCAUAUUAUAUUUGUACAAUGUUGAGAGAAUGAAAAGCUGAUGUAUCUGUCUAUAACAUGAUCUCCAGGGCCUCCCUUGUUUGUCCAAGUAUAUUGAAUACUGUUGCUGCAAUAUGAGAUGGUGUCAGACCCGCCAUGGCCAACUGGUCUGCUGGCGCUCCAUGGUCUAUGUACCGGUCAGGAAGAACCAUGGGACUCCACUGCACAGGGGUUUUGAAGGAGUAAACAAGUAUACUAAUGGCAAUUUUCCAUACUAGGUUAUGAAAGAGGAACUCAAAACUUGAGGUGUCUUAUUCAAAUAUAAACUAUGAAGGCAAGUCUUAGAUUCAUACCUUUGUUGUGCCAUCAAGAAGACCAUUAAGGGCCAAAAACUGAGCAACAUGAGACCCAAAACCACCAAUUGACCCUUCUUCUACUGUAAUCAAAACUUCAUGUGAUUUUGCUAGGCUACGAAUAAGAGCAUGGUCCAAUGGUUUGCAGAAGCGGGCAUCUGCGACUGUUAUUCGUAAGCCAUGUUGUUCCAGCAAAGAAGACGCAACCAAACAGCUCUGUACUGCUGUUCCAUAGCCCAAGAGUGCAACUCUCUCCCCCUCAAUCAAUAUUCGGCCCCUUCCAACCUGUUACAAAUUGCCAAGUAUCUGUUUAUAUUUGUAUGCUCUUCCAUCAGUAUAUGUAGAGAUUCAGUGAGUCUUACCUCAAUAGGAAUGCCUUUGUUCCCUGGUGGCAGUUCAACACCCACCCCAUUUCCUCUUGGGUACCGGAAACAACUGGGCCUGUCAUCUAUGGCAGCAGCUGUGGCCACCAUGUGAAAAAGCUCGGCCUCAUCAGCAGGAGCCAUCACCACCAUGUUUGGAAGGCAAGCCAUGAAAGUGACAUCAAAAGCUCCGCAAUGUGUUGGGCCAUCUGCUCCAACCAGCCCAGCUCUGUCCAUUGCAAAUUUCACUGGCAGCUUCUGCAAAUCUACAUCAUGCACCACCUACAGUAGGAGACCCAGACCACAUUCUUAGCAGAAUCCAACUAAAAUUUUAACAUAAUUUAGCAAUAAUCCGACUGUCGUAGAUUCCUAUUAUGCCAAGUAAAUUCCUAAAAGAGCUGAAAAAAAAUAUAUUCAGGCUUCUCAGAAACUAGAAUUCUUGAUGAACAAAAUUAUAACACUAUAAUUUUGAAUCGGUUUUCCAACUAACAUUAUGUUAUUUAGUAAAGGUUUUCCAAUUUGUCAAUUAAAAUUUCAAGAUAAGUAUAUUAGACUAAAAAGGGUACUUUAAUUAAUGUAACAUUGAUUGAAUGUAUUCAACACAGAGUAUGGACCUUCAAGAAGGAGAAAUAAAUAAUUAAACUAAAUACAAUUGAACACCCAAUAAAGAACAAAUUUCAUUUUAAGUAUAUUAUUCCAACUGAAUAUUUUUUACUGUCGCAUUAAUUAAAUCCCGAUUAUAACGCUCCAACUCUCAGCUCGGACACUAAGGUCAUAGGCUCAUAUCAAGCCUAGACCUAACAUGAGUAUAUAAUCUCCAAAACAGAAAUAAAUAAUUAGCCUAAAUAUAACUGAACUAAUAGAAAACUAAAUAACCAAAGAAAAUAACGGUCCUAAAUAAUAAUAAUGGUCUACAAAACUAAUGAACUGAAAUAAGCGCAGAAAGUACAAGUAAACACAAUGAGACAAGUGGCUGGCUUCUAUGAGGUAAACAACUUCAACGAACAAAGGUCGCAAUUAUUAACAGAGGGUAAAAAAAAGAGAACUAAAUGUCCAAAAUGAGAGUUGGUCUGAGUAGGAACCCCUGAGCUAACAACUCGACUCUUCCGAAUGCAGGACUUCAAUGACAAUCCUGGAGUCUACAUCCUCAACCUCAACUUCUCACCUAAAAAGACGACUAAAUGUGGAAUGAACUAAAGCUCAACAAGUAAAAUUCAUAACCAAUAAUUGUUCAGAUGGUCAAUCCAGUCAAAAUAAAAAUCCUUUUUCAUUGUAAUAUUAUACCAUAGCAUUUGAUUAAGAAGAUAUGGUAAUAGGAUUGGCAUGCCUGGUCAUAAGCUCUCUGCAUGAAAGAUGAGUAGAUUGCACAAAAAGGUUUAAUGCCUUCACAGGCUAGACCAGCAGCAAAGGUAACAGCAUGCUGUUCUGCUAUCCCAACAUCAAAGCAUCGUGUGGGGAACCGGCGAUGGAAGAGAUUCAAGCCCGUUCCACCCCCCAUUGCUGCAUGAAUUGCAACAAUAUCCUUGUCCACCUCUGCUUCUGCAAUCAAAGCCUCUGCAAAAUAUGUUGUGUAGGACUGAGUAGGAGCACUGGAUUUGAAUUGUUUUCCAGUAGCAGGAUCGAACUUGGUCACUCCUGUGAAAAAGAAAAAUAUUGUUAUUUAUUCUUUUCUAUCCUAUUUAUUGAAUGAUAAAGCAUAAAAUGGGGUGGUUCAUGAGAAAAUAUGAGAAUAGGCUUUAAGGGAAUUGAAGUUUAUCAACUCUGUUAUUACAUGUGUCAAAAUGUCCAUUUUUGAAUUUAAUAAUUCUACUUUCUGUAAUAGCUCAAAUCAAUUGACAGAUAUGCUAGACAGAACAGGUAAGAUUUCAUUCCAUAUGAUCACAGACAAAAGCCCCCCAUCCCCAGCCAUCCACCCCUCAAAAGAAUGUAUUAGGCAUGGUAAUUUGUUACUUACCAUGGUACUUAUCUGCAGCUUUCUCAGCAUAUGGAUAUCCGCGGCCUUUCUCUGUGACAACAUGGAUCAGAACUGGACCUGUUGUCUUGGUACUCUUAACCUCCUUGAGAAUGGCAACAAGGUCAUCUAUGUUGUGGCCAUCAACAGGACCUAUAUAAUAGAGUCCAAGCUCUUCAAAAAGUGUUGAUCCAGAACCACUGAUCAUCCCACGAGCAUAUUCAUCAACUUUUGCAGCCAAUUCAUGCAUCGGUCCGCCAAUCUGUUUGGUAACGCCCUGCAACAAUAUUAUCCAAAAAUAAACCAUGUUCACUUUGGGAUAAUAACAAGUAUAAAAGAUUUAUCUAUUCUAAAGAUCACAAGUAAUACUAACCUUGGCAACCUCUCGUAAUUCUCUAAGAGGUCUGUUUGAUUGUAACCUACUAAGAGCACUGCUCAAAGCUCCUACAGGUGGUAUGGGCCCAUCUAGAGUAGCAGUGGGUAAAGAAACCUGCUUGUUGUCAUUAAGGAUAACAAUCAUGUCAGAAUCCAGGUACCCAGCAUUGUUCAUUGCUUCAUAAGCUUGCCCUGCAGUCAUGGCUCCAUCACCUAUGACAGCAAUAACGUUGUUGUUUUUUCCUUUUAGAUCCCGGCCGACCGCCAUUCCUGUUCACACAAAACAUUUUGAAGGUUAAAACCUAAAGGAAGAUUGAAUUCAGACGAAAUUAGUUCAAAUUGAUGGAAUGUCCACAGAGUUAGGCUUUGUGGUUUUGCUGCCGCAGUGACUCAAUAAUGUGAAGCUAAUAUGCUAUAUUACUGAAGAAUUUGCAUGAUAUGAGGUAAAUAAUACUUGUAUCUUCAGCCUAUAGUCAUCCAAAAACUAAUAAGUAGAUGGUACUUUCUCCAUUUGGAGAAUCAAAGAUCUUGUUCAACGAAUUUUGUAUCUUCUCGGUGGCAAAUGUAAAAGUAGUGGGCAUUUUUUUAAUAAGUACUUCGAGUAUAGACUCUUCCAUAGCACAAACAGGCUUAAAAUUGACACAGCAUUCACUUGGAAAAGUUUGGGCUUCAGUACAUAUCAAAUUUUGGUACUCUUUGUCUAAGUUCAAUAUUUUUCCAUAUUCAAUUGGAGAUGGAAGAGAGAAUUACCCAAGCCUGCUGAGAUGGUAGUAGAACUGUGGCCGGUUCCAAAGCAGUCAUAUUCACUCUCCGAGCGCUUGGUGAAUCCCGCUAACCCAUCUGUUUGCCUCAUGGUAUGCAUUUGAUCUCUUCUCCCAGUUAGAAUUUUGUGUGGGUAAGACUUCAGAAACAACAAAACAAUAGCAUAUCAACAACAAUUGUCUUCAAAAUAUAGUCUCUUUUGGUAAAAAGCCUAACGGAAAAUAAACCAGAGAAGGUGAGAUUGUAACCUGAUGACCAACAUCCCAUAGUAUCCUGUCUUGAGGGGCAUUGAAGACAUAAUGAAGAGCCACAGUGAGCUCCACAACCCCGAGGCUGGAGCCCAAGUGACCCCCAGUUUUGGAAACAUUGAAGACAACAUCAGACCUUAGUUCAUCUGCGAGUUGUUUCAGCUCCUGCAUCAGAAGAAACCCAUAUGAGCAUAUGAAUCUCUGCUUCCUAGCUAUAUAUCUGAGCAUAUGCCUUCAGUUAAGUACCUUGACAGACAGAUUUUUCAUGUGAAUUGGAUAAUUGAUAGUGUCCAGGAGAGGAGUUGGUGGUCUCUGGGAAUGAUACUCCUCCCUAUCCGAAAGUGAUGCACAAACCCCAUUUGGCCUUUUCCUGGCCUGUACAUAAUUUAAAAAGAAAAAUUAAAAAACACCCAUUUGUCUUGAUGAUUCUUUAUCAUAAACUAAGAUUUGAAAACAACUAAAAUCCCAAAACCACAAAAUAAACAAACAGACAAAUCAAUCAAUAUCUCAGCAGGUUCUUCCUCUAUGAUAUAUCCUCCCCCACAAAAAUCAAUUCAAACCCACCAAAAAAUAAAUCAAAUCCAACAAAAUGAACAAGACCCAGUACUCAACACUAAGUCCCAAGCAAUAAUUCCUCCUUUGCUUGACUACCCAGAAAAUAAAAAUAUUCCGGACCUUACUCCUUUGCUGGGAUUGGCACUGCAAAUCCACCCCCAAGAACAAAUGGGAACACUGAGGAGUAAGUCUCUGAGGAUUUGAAGCAGCAGCCUGGCUAAAAUGGGCAGGAAAUGAGAGCGUACAGAGAGCCAUUUCAACUCUCAGCAAAUGCAGAAGCUUGAGCACAGACCAAAGCAAGAACAAUCCAGAAAAGACAGAGAGAAAAAGCAGUGCUUCCCCCACUCCCCGGUAGUGGAGAUAAUGGUGGUGCUGGUGGUAGAGAGAUGUGAAUACCAAACAAAAAAAAAAAAAAGGGACAGAAACCCAAUACUCGUCUGGGUAAGAUUGAUUGACCGACCACCUUAGUUUUCUCUUUCCAUUCCAAAUUUUUAGUAGUUUCUGACACGAUGAGCCCGGCAGCUCUUCCCCCAUUGGUCCACGUCAGCCGAAAUCAGCAAUGGAUAGAAGGAUAUGAUAUUGUAUGGAUCAUUAAUAGUAGCAAAACGGUGGAUUGUGGUCUAUUCUUGGGACCUCUCAAAUAAUUUACAAUCUCCACCAUACUAAAUUUUAAUAUUGAUAUCCCAAAAGCUUAUAUUAAAAAUAUAUAUACUAUUUGGAAAUAAUAGCUUAAACAUACCAAUGGUAUAUCCUAUAUACUUAAAAUGUUAUUUGACCUUAUAAACUUACCCAAUUCAUAUACUACAUAUAUGUUAUAUGGUCAAUGAAAAAAAAUAUUUGAAUUAGGGAAAUAUGGUGAUUUUGUGUUUUUUUUUUAAGGAAAAUAAUUUAACGCAUAUAUUUUGGGACAAUAAUGUAUUUAUUAUUCUUUUUAUAAAUAAAUAUAAUAUUUUUUAGAAAAUUUUUACAAGAUUGACAAACAUUAUUUAGGUUUCCUAUUUUAGUCAUAUAAUUUAUUUAUUUUGAUAGUAAAUUAGUAAAUAACAGUGGAAAAAAAUGUUAUUUUAGGAAAUUACUAGUAAUUGUGUGAUGUCCUGAUAAGGGAGAAAACUUCUUAUAUUAUAAGUAUGAAUUUUCUUUAAUUGUGUAAAUGUAUUGUAAAAUUGUGAGGAUUUCUUAAGCAGAGAAUGAACAAUAUCUACAUAGUUAGGUGUAUGUCGUUACAAAUGGUAUUAGAGUUAAUCUUUUACCUUAGUACGGAUGUUUGUUUGACCUGUGAGAAGUAUUUGUUUGUUUGAUCCUAUAAUCCCGUAGGAUAUAACAACAUUGUUACAUCUGCAUAGAAGGUAUUUGUAAUAUUUCACAUCAAAGUUCCUUAUUUUUUUAAAACUUUAAGAAUACCUUAAGUACAAAGUUGACAAUAUUUACAUAAUUUGGUAUAAGUUGUUACAAGUUAAACAUAUAUAACAAUAUGUUAUUGGGAUAAUAUUGCAUGUACCUUUCAAAAAGGAAGGGUUGUGCUCCAUUAUUGGAGUUUGCUGCAUGAAAUAUUUAUUCUCUUGUCGGUCCAAUCAUUUUUAUGAUAUUUUUUUUUAACAAUAAUAUCCCAAUUAUUUUGAGACAAAUAAUUCACACACGUUUAUUAAUUAUCUACCAUAAGAAUUUUUUUUUAGGGUAAAAAUGCCAUCAUUAAUUUUAUUUUAUUUUUAUUUUUUCACAUCAGUGUUUUAUCUAGAUUUUCCUCACAUGUUUACCCAGAGGAUUGUGAUCCUAAAUUCCCAUCUCAAAAUAAAUAAAUAAAUGGGAGCAGUGGGGCAAGGUUGGGUGUGGUGCCUUUUUGUCUUCUUUAUAAACACACAUAUAUGUAUAUAUAUAAAUUGUCUUCUUUUUUUUUUUCCUUCUUUCAAUUUUCUCUUUUUCAUCACUACUAUUAUCACCAAUACUUUAAAAAUAUUAUUAAUUAUUAUUAUGAUGAUUUUUAUUAUAAUCAUUAAUAUUAAUACUAUUGUUAUCAUUACAAAUACUAUUAAUAUUAAAUAUUUAUUUUUAACAUUAUUAUUCCCAAUAAUCAUAUUAUUAUUUGGCUUUUAAAAUCUUUUUUUACUAUUAAAUUUUAUUUUAAUUAUCACACAUGACGCAUGACAAGAAAAUUCAGAAUACUAAAAAGAAUUCUCGUUACAAAUGCAUGUGUAUUAGUCUUAGUUAACAUGUUCGACAAGACACUCUAAAAAAUUUACAACUCACUUUUCAUUGUACAUGUGAAAUAUGUAUGUAAAUACAAAUUCGACUUUGUAAUUAAUUUUUUAAACGCUUCGAGAAAAAUUCCAUAAUUAAAUUACGAUCCAAAAAUAAUUUAAUGUUCAUUUAUCAGUUACAGAUAUGUUAGUUCAUAGUAUUUGUAGCACAUGUGAAUCAUUCAAGCUGGUAUACAUCUUAAUCAACUUGUAACUGUUGGGACGUCAUUUGUUUGUUUGGCCCUGGGCAGCCGCAUGGGCCGGAUACCAGAGUAGCCUCCCCAGGAUUCGAACUCGGGACCUUAACCCUGGCAGUAGUCCUCCUGGUACCAUCUGUGCUACUAGCGCAGAUGGUACCAGGAGGACAACUGCCAGAUUUAAGAUCCCGAGANNNNNNNNNNNNNNNNNNNNNNNNNNNNNNNNNNNNNNNNNNNNNNNNNNNNNNNNNNNNNNNNNNNNNNNNNNNNNNNNNNNNNNNNNNNNNNNNNNNNAUCUGUGCUACUAGCGCAGAUGGUACCAGGAGGACUACUGCCAGGGUUAAGGUCCCGAGUUCGAAUCCUGGGGAGGCUACUCUGGUAUCCGGCCCAUGCGGCUGCCCAGGGCCAAACAAACAAAUGACGUCCCAACAAAAACGUCGGCCUUUUUUGCUCUGGUGGUGCCGGAUCAACAGCGCCCAGCGCAGAGUCUUAUGGGGCCAUUUGUUUAUUUGGCCCUUGGGUGACGUCCCCAGGAUUCGAACCCAAGUCCAAGACUUAAGGACGAUAAGGUUGCCCUCCUGGUACCAUCUGCGCUAGUAGCGCAGAUGGUACCAGGAGGACUACUGCCAGGGUUAAGGUCCCGAGUUCGAAUCCUGGGGAGGCUACUCUGGUAUCCGGCCCAUGCGGCUGCCCAGGGCCAAACAAACAAAUGACGUCCCAACAGUAACAAAUAGUGGGACAAAUUGAAAAUGACAAUACAUCGAAUGAGAGUCAUGCAUGGCCACCACCUUUGACAAGUUGAGUUUAAAAGUCUAACUUUUAUCAUCUUCAAUUAUAUGAUGUUUUGUUAAUUUAUUGAAAAGAAUAAUAGAAUUAAAAAAUUAUUAUUAUUAUUAGGAAAUUAAAAUCUAAUAAUGUGGAUUUUGAUUUUUUUUUCAUUGUUUUAUAUAAUAUUGUUGAUUUAGUAUCUUCAAAUUGUUUUUAUAGACUAUUAAAUACCUUUUUUUUGCCACUUAUUAAUUUUUUCAUAUAAUUUAUUUUUUCAAAAUUAAUUUAAAACUGCAUUCACAAGUCAUGUUUUUAGAUCGUGUUUGCUUAACGGGAUAUGAUACAGUAGGAUAUUAUAUCUUGUUGGAUAAGAAAUACAUAUCUCAAGAUAUCAUUUUCAUUGAAAUAUGAUAUCAUUAGAUAUCACAUUUAAUGGACAUGAAACCAAUGGUAUAUACUAUAUACAAUUGAAUAUGUUAUGUUAUACAUAUUAUGUGCAAAAUAAAAUUAGUUUAAAGUUGUGUUUAUAAGACAUGUUUUUAGAUUGUGUAAGACAUGAUAUGGUAAGAUAUUAUAUCUUGUUGAAUAAGAAAUAGAUAUAAUUUUUAAUGAAAUAUGAUAUCAUUGGAUAUCACAUUUAUUGGACAUGAAAUCGGUGAUAUAUACCAUUAAAUAUGUUAUAUUGUACUUAUACUUAAUUUGUAAAAUAAAUAAAAAAAAUAAAAUAUAUAUUAUUUUUCAAUAUUUCACAUUUGUUUAAAAUAAAAAAUUAUAUUAAAUUACGGUAUUUGCUAUUCAAAAUCAUGAAAUUUCUUUUUAAUUUAGUAGUAUUGUUCAUGAUUAAAGUAUUUAAAAUUUAUAAAUAUUUUUUAUUAUAUUAUUCAAUAUAUAAAAAUAAUUAUAUAUAUAUAUAUAUAUUAAAUAAUACAUAUGUGGGUAUUAUUUUACAAAAUAUUUUAUAAAUGUUUUUCAAUUAUUUUUUAACCAUAAAUUUUAUAAAUAAUAAAUAUAACAAAAAAAUCUCACUAGUUGGACUUGGAUGUGAUUCCAACUAAGAAUAUUAAAAGAACAAGAAUGAACGUAUCAUAUCUUUGUCAAGGAUUCGGCAUUUUUAACUAAUGACAAGCUCUAAGAUUACUUUGUCGUAUGAUUUUUCAGACUGAUGAAUGGAGCUUUGACUUCCAAUAUUUUUGGUGACAGCCAUGAUGAACUUUUUGUUUUUCUCGGAGACUUGGAGAUGUAAAUUAGAGUCAUAAUACUUUAAUAUAAAAAAAAUAAAUGGAAAAGAUUGAUAAAUUGAUAUCCGAAACCUGCAUGGUUCACGAUGAUGGAGGGAGGGAGGGGUCCACCUGGAAGGCCGUCGUUCAAGUCUUCAACUAUCAAAUCGGAGGAAGGCUGCUCAGUCUUCUCUUCCUCACUUCCGACUAUUCCAAGUGUUUUUAACGGAAAUGUUUGGAAAACAUUUCCACUCUUUGAAGAAUCACUUUCUUAAAAAAAAAAUAAAAAAUAGUAUAAAUGAUUUUGGAAUGUAAAUAAAUUUUUAGAUUUUUAAAAGUGUUUCCUAAAUUUUGUUAAACACUUUAAUAGUUUAUUUGAUAAUAUUUUUAAAAAACGUUUUUAAUAUCUAAAAUAUAAAAAAUUUAAUGUGAUAAAUACUAUCAAAUUAUAAAUGUUUUUAAAGUCCAUUUUGCUUCUAAUAUAAGUGUUUUUAUUGAAAAUAUUUUUUUAUACAACACUUUAAUAAAAAAUGUUUUUAUGAUAAUUUAAAAAAGUGAUUUUAAUAGUGUUUUUAAUAAUAUAUUAUAGAAGUAUAAAAACAUUUUUAAUAAUAGUAAAUUACAAAAUGACUUUAUUAAGAAAAGAAAAUAUUAUAAUAAACUGAAAGCUUUUAUUACAAAAAAUAUAUAUAGAUAUUUAUAUUGUUAAAAAAAAAUUAAAAAUUAAAUUUAUGAAAGGGAAGUGAAAGAGGAAAAAGAGAUUGAGAAAAAAGUCAAGAGUGAAAUGGAAACAAAUGAUAAUAAGAAAUGAUAUUUUAAUAAUAUAUGAAAAUUUUUGAAGUAUUUUUUUAUUUAAAGAAACACUCUCAAGUGCAUCUUUAAAAAACAUUUUAAGUGUUUUUCUAAAUUUUUAAAAGUGUUUUUAAAAUAUUCUCAAAUACCUAUUUUUUUUAUAUCUUAAAAACGUUUUUAAAACUAAAAACACUUUUAAAAAACAUGAGUUUUUAGUUAAAAAAAGAAGAGAAAUCCUAAAACAUGGAGAGUAAUAGAAUAUUUGAUAGCAAUUUUUGUAUUGAAAAUAAAAAAGUUGUUUUUUUUAUAAAAAAUAAUUAUAUAAAUAUAAAAAAUGAUUGAAAACAAAAUAUUAAAGAUAAAAAUAUAACUUUUAUUUGUAAUUAUUUUCAUAUUUGUAUAAUUAUUUUUUAAAACAAUUACAAACAAAAAAUAAUUAAAAUAUAUUAUUAAAAAAAAUUGUAAAAACUUUAUUUUAUUAAAAAAUUAUCAAACAUGUUUUUUUUUAAUUUUAUAAAAUGGAAAAUUAUUUUUAAAAUCAGUUUCCAAGCAUACCCGUAAGGUUUAGAACAUCCAAAUUCCCAAUCGAAUCUCAUGAAAGUCUUUUAGAAAACGGUUCUUACAGGGAAGGGGGAUUGGGAAAGGAGGAGAUGUAAGACCAAGACCUUUGCCCUUGAGGCCCGGCUGAUGGGAGGGUGGGUGUGUGGAAGAUUCCAGGUUCAAGUCGGGACAAAAAUUUACCGUUCAAAAAAACACCCAGACCGACCCAGACGCUGUGCGCUGUAGUGCCUUGAUUAUUGGUCUUUGUUUUACAUGUCUGGAUGCUUUGUAUCAUGACUUUAUGGAGGCGCAGUGCAGCAGCAGCGUUAGACUGAAUUUAUCAUCUGAAUUCUGGACCUCUCCCACGCAAUUGCUCACCACUCAGAAGUCAGUUGCGUGGAUUGAUGGAAAUGGAGGACUGAUGACUGAUGAGACUACACUCACUCAGUGGAUUCCAUUCAACUCGACAGCUGACACCCUAGAAUUGGCCCAAUAGCAACAGGGGGACUCUGGAGACUGGACCUUCCUUUACCACACAACCUAAUUUAUAAAUUCAUAAGCCUUUUCCUGUAUCAUUUGUGCAACUGGGUUCCCAUUAUUUUGUUCUUUCUUCAUUUUCCAAAUUGAAAGCAAAAUGUUACUGUACAUAUGCUGCUGAUAUAUUUUGAACGACUAACACAAGUUGGGAACCACAAAGAGAGGUUCAAUCUCUGCUUUGGCCACCAUGCUCUUUAUGCUCUCUGAAUCCAUUGGUGAAUGAGCUAUCUUUGACUCCCAAAUCCUCGCUAGAUUAAGCAUUUUGCUCCUUGCAUUCACCACUUCUAUCAAAAUUCGUUUCACUUUGAUGACUAUGUGAUGAGUUGAAAAAAAAGAAUUACAUACAAGAAUAUAUUAGGUCUAGAUCGACUUAGAGUUACAAAGUUGCUAUCUUCUUUUGUAUGUGCAUCUUGCUUCAUGUAUAUAUAUUAAACCUCUUUUCUAAUAUGGUCAUUGACUCCCUCACAACAUUUCUCUAUGAGCUCCUUUUGUAAGCCCUUUCAGUUCUUUUCUCAUUAUCAUAAUUACUACUUCUGCUUCUGCUAAAUUAAUUUGAAACUUGAAAGUUCCAACAAAUGUUAAUGGUUUUUGCUUGGCUUGUGACAAAUAAGAAAGUUAAUAUCAACGAUUUGCUUCAAUGAGAAAGCCUGAUAAUAAAACUCUUAAUCGAGACAAUUGUGAUAUAUGCUUGAAGAGUAAUGAAUCAACCAUCCCUCUAUUUCUUCACUGUCCUAUUACAUUGGUAUAGAUUGGAUUCUUCUUAGAGGCAUGACACAGAUGUUGAGAAUUUCCUUUAAGGGUCUUGGAAGCACAUCACAAAAGGAAAAUUCUUUGGUAGAUGGUUGUUUUAUAUUUGAUUUGGCUUAUUGGUUGGAGAGGGAUGCAAUGAUUUUUUUAAGAUAGAUUUUUGAGGAUGGAUGGAGAUCUGUGAAUGCCAUUUGAGACUCAGUUUUCUUUUACUCUUCCCUAUGGGCCUUAGUCUCUAGGCCUUUUGCAAAUAUUCCAUUAUAUCUUUUAGUAUUUGGAUUAGAAGAGUGAUUGUUACCCAAAGAGGUUGGUUGAAGAAGAUAAUGAUUGAUUGGUUACCCCCUCCAUAGAUUGAAUGAAGUUAAACUUUGAUGGAUGUUUAAUGGAUAACUCUGGAUAGAUAAGUAAUAAAAACAUGAUUAGAGAACAUUUGGGUGUAGUAUUGAGAGCUUUCUCUAAGAAGCCAAAAUGGGUUUAACCAUAAAGGUAGGAUAUCGACAUUAUUGGAGAAUUCAAUGAUGGACAAAAGCUUUAUCCCUAUCCACUCUAAUGGUAAAGGGCGGUUUUGCCAAUGUAAUAUCUUGGAUGACUAAUAAGAAUAUAAAUUCAUGAAAGUUUGUCAGCUUGAUGCACAAAAUCAUAGAUAUUGCAAAUGAUUUGGGUUAUUCUUUCUUUUUGGUUUUGUCUUUUAGCAAGCCAAAUCACACAUCAAUUAGCCAAACAAGGAGCAAAGCAUAUGACCUCUUUUGCUAAAGAUUUCCUUCUCCCUAAAGUGUCCAAUGUUUUUUCUUUCAUAUACAUGCGGGUUUUUUCUUUUGGGAGGGUUGGGUUAGUUUUUUUUUUGUAAUUUCAGUUCUUGGUUACUUUCUACCAACCUUAAUACAUCUUAAAGAUUGCUUAUCCUUGUAUUUGUCAACUGAUAGAUGAAUGAUAAUGUUUGUUUCUAAUUUUUUUAAAAAGGUUGCUAUCACAGCUCCAUUGCUUCGUAUAUUUAUUUUCGUAUGUGAUUUAACAACCUAAAGUUUCUUUUUAUCCUGUCAAAUAAGAAAAGAAAUAAAUAAGAUUAUUUUUUUAUUUUUAUGGUACCUUCAAUUGGACAAAGAAAAAGCAAAAAAUAAAAAUAAAGUAAAAAAAUGAAAAUGAAACCUAAAAUUUAUUUUUCAUGCAAUCACCAACAGUAAAAAAGAUGAAAAAAAUAAUAUUUCUUCCUGCAAAAAAAUGAAACCUUUUGAGGACACUUGAUAAAUUCAAGCUAACUAACAAUCCAGUGUUUGUGGGUGCUGGAAGGGCUUUUAAAUUGUUGGUUGAUGAUCCAAAACCUACUUGGUUCAACCAUGUUAUGCUGAAGUUCCAUCUAGUCCUUGGGGUUACUUCUUUUUAUCUUUUUCUAGCUAUUGUUCAACACCAACCAAUUAACAUGCAUUACAGCCUUCAUAAAAUCAAUAUAAACAGACUGAGCAGUUAAGAAGUUAACUCCCUGACUGGAUACUGCAAGAAGAUCUAAGACAAGGCUGUAACCGGGUGGUCAGGAGAGGUGGCCUGCUUAGAGCCCAAGAAAUACAAGGCCCAAUACUAACCUGAAACCAUUACUCUCUGUUUCUUCAAGUCCCACACCCUAUUUAAAGACCAAGGAUAUUAUCAUCCUAGUGCAGAUAGCACAUGACAGAAGAUCAGAGGAAGAAAGAGCUGAAAUAAGAUCCCUCUUAAUUGCAAAUGCUUUCAUCCUAAUGGGGUGGAAAUUGAUGGCACUUGGGUAAAGAGAGGAAGUCAGAGGGAACAUGAAAACAGAGGAAUGAUAAGAUCAGUUGGCCAAGCAGAUGAUGAAGUUUUCCUAAUACUGAGGUUUCAUCUUGACAAUCACAAACUCUAUCUGACAAAAUUGAAUUAGUGUUUUAGGAGAUAAUAUUGAAACAAAUUUUGGAAGAUCUGAACAACUAAGGCAGCGUUUUCCUUUUGGUAGCUAAACCUUGAAAUAUAGUUACAUAACAGAAGGCCAAAACAAAGGUUCCAGUCAAUGGUUGUCAUAUGGAUGGAGAAACAAGUCAAUCAUGGUGACAUCACAGGUUAAAAAGAAGUGGGUUUUGCAUGUCAAGGCUAUCAAUCAUGUAAAUUCAACACAAACAUAAUUAUCUAAACAAAAACUGUUGAGACCAUGACAUGCAGCUGCAAUUAACCCAUGAAGAUCCUCACUAUUUCAAAUUGUGAGCCAUGUCUUAGAAACAGCAUAACCCAUAAUGAAAGAUGGCUAUCAAGAGAUCAAGUCAUCCACACAAAAGAAAGAGUUGAUAAUCAAUAUGCUAAAUAAAAAAAUACCCAUAAAAAAAUAUAUGCUAAACCAAAAAACAUCAGUGAUAAGUACACUGAUCUGUGAAUCUGACUCAGAACAGAGAGAGAUACCACGAAGAGGAUUCUCCUUCACUUCAUCUUUGCCUCUGUGAACAGAACAUGACGAUUUACCCGAGGGUCAUAUUUCCGGAACUCGAGCUUCUCUAACAUUUUCCGAGGAUUCUUCUUCUUCACAUAGAAGAAUCCAGUGCCAGCAGAUGAGACAAGCCUGAUGAAUAUUGAAGCAGCCUUCUUCUUCUUGUCACCCAUCCCUGGCUUUAAACAAGAAAGAACCAAUCAAACUUCCUGGGACUGGAAUCUUUAAAGAAAGAGAAAAUAAAUUCUGUGGAGAAUAGCUAGAAUCUUUUGGCCAGCAUGAGUUAAACCAGGUCCAGGCACAAACUUCUUAUUUAUUUAUUUAUUUUUUUGAUGAAGGCACAAACUUCUCAUCUGGGGUUCUAAGUUCAGAAAAUUUGAGUUGUCCAAAAAUAAAAAUCAGAACCCAGUAUUCAACUAAUCAUCUAUUCUUUCGGUUUUAUACUGCAGCUUAUUAUCCAUACUAGCUGAACUCCAAAUAACCCAAAACCAAACCAAAAAGUUUGCUACCCCACAAACAACUCUAGAGAACGUAUAUGUUGGGAACAACUCAAAAGAUAAAGAAGUCUAGUUAAUUUCUUCAUGCUCGUUCCAAGUUCGAAGUACCAUUUGUGUAUACUUUUGGAUGUUCUUCUUUAUGCACUCUUAAUACAAUUGCUUUUACUUAGCCAAAAAAAAAAAAAAAGGUUCUAAGUACCAUUUGUACAAAUAAGAAUCCCCUUCAUUACAUAUCUAUCAAAAAAAAGAAUCCCCUUCAUUACAUGAUUUCUUCUUCAUAUGGAUAGAUAUAGGAUCUAUGGGGCAAUUUUCUAAGAAGUACAUUUUGUGCAACAACCUUCCUAUAUAAUAGAGAAGGAUCCCAUGAUUUUUUCUUUUUGAUAGGUAAGAAGGAUCCCAUGAUCUUGAACUGAUCUUAUCUAGGAUCGCAAAUCCCAUGUUUGUCUAUGAAGAGCAGAUCUAAUUACAUUAGUGUCUAUAAUUGAUUUCUUUUGUGUAAUACUAAUUGAUAGGGUUUCAUUGGUAAGUGCUACAAGAUCUUGUGCUUGGAACCCAUGGUUAUGGACCCAAAUCUAUUAGCAUGGAACAUUUUAUUUUCCAAGUGAAAUCCCCUAGUGUAUGAAAGAGUGAGGAAGUGCUUGCAUUGUUGUGGAAUAAGAAACCUUCGUAUCUUAAUACAUGUAUUUAAUUCAUUCAAAGCUAUUAGAGCAGGAUCCACUUUUUGGGGAAUAUGAGUUGAAGCAAUAACAAGAAUAUUUCUAGUGGAACAUCUUUCACAAUCUCUAGAGAGAGAGAGAGAGAGAGAGAGAGAGAGGGAGAGAUAGUUCACUAAUAGACCGAGGGAUAAGUAAUUCAACUAAUUCAUAUCCAAAUCAUGAAUGUUUGGAAUCCAUAUUAUGCAAGGGGACAUUGUUUUUGCUAAUUCGAAUUGAAGGGUGAUAUAAAAUUGGUUUAUUUCAAACAUCAUAUCCAUAGUUACUGCAUUCAUCAUAGUUAGCAGGGAUCCUCCACCCCCACCUCAUUACAUUGAGUACUUGAUUUGGCUUCACCCAAAUAUGACAAAACAAAUGCUUACAUAAACCAUGAAUCUUCAAACCAUUUUAAGUCUUCUUUUCCAUCCGCAUAAUGAAACAGUGAGAUGUACUUUCGUUUCUCUAAACUAAGUUCCACAGUCACAUGUUCACAAAUCACAAUGGAAUCUAAAAUUAUGAUCAACCAUGAAGUGCAAGUAUUAAUGAGUAUAAGUUGGUAUGAACUUCAAAUCAGAAAGAUUGUAACUGAGUUUGGCUCCUCUCCUUUCAUCAUCUCCUGGAAGAAAAAACCCUUAACCAGACCUCAUAAAGCCCAAUACAAAGUACAUUUAACAUGCUUAAUUAGUAUCCCAUCCAUACUUCUUGUGCUACUAUCUCCAUUUUCUAUCCAUCACUGCUCUACAUUAUUGGAAACACAGAUAAUUUCCUGAUUAUGCUCAAUACUCUUAGUACUUCUCCUUUUUGGUUGGUCUUUCCUGGUUUACAUUGUAAGGUUUUAUCAACCACCCAUUACCACUGCAAUUCCUUAAAUUUACUUGCCUAUUUUCAUUAAUGGUAUUGGCACCAUGCAGAUUCACAUUGGUUUUUGUAUAGUUUUGGCUACUGCUCCUUCAAUAGUCUUUGAGUUCCAGACACAUCUAUAUCUGAAUUUGUAACUUAUAUGUGAACACAUUAAUACCGUUGAUGUUUCUUUAGAUGCUCUUUUCAACUCUACUCCUAGAAUUAAUGUAUUUCAGUCAGUUUUCUGAGAUGUUGAACCAGAGAUUAUUUUAAGCCUUGCUUUUUAUUGAUCAUAAUAAUCCAGCCACUAGUUUAGCAGGUAAAACAGAGCUUUAACUGUUUAUAUAGAGGAGAUCUCACCAUGUCAUAAGACAAAGGAAAAGGUAUUUUCACUUCUUUGCUCUAGCAACAGCUAGCUGCAUUGUUUUUCAGAUUAAUAUCAAUGUCACAAGUUUCAGACACAAAUUCAACAUAUUUUCUCAAAACAGGAUUGACUUCUACAGAAUCAAAACUGAAGCAUAGAAGUGAAGCAAACACCAAAAUCCUCUUUCUAUAAUAUUCUGCAGAGAUCACUUCUCCCAGAAAAUUUUAGUGUCAACUUAGUGAAGAGUAUUCUGAAGAUUAUUUUUUUUCCUCAAAGUUGCGUCCAAAAAAAACUUUCAGUUUCACAUUGAAGACCUUCAUGAAAUGUCCCUACAAUUCCAAAAAUCCAUACUAUAUAUAAAAGUACGAAAAGUUUGUACUUUUCUCUCCCCUCAUAUUCCAGAGUACACGUAGUUAUUAUUUAACUAUGACAAUCAUAAUAAUUUGUCUUAAAAUUCACAAUAAAUUCACCUUUAUGUUAUUUAAAAUUCACCUUAAAAAUCACAAUAAGAGGUUUUUUUUUUCAAGGCUUCUAUUUAUAUCAGGUACCAUUUAUGUUCACAUGGUAAAAUUAUUGAACAUCGAUUGAUUAAAUUCAAGAAAAUAUUUAUAUACAUAAUUGUACCCGAUAAUGUUCCCAAAAUUCUAGCUUGAGCUGUAGUCCAAACAUGAAACCCUAUUAUUCAAAAUUUUCAGCAACAGGCUAACAGCAUUGAUGAAUUAAAAGCAUUCAAAGAGAAACCCUAUGUUUGAUUUCCAAGAAAAUAGAGCAAAAAAAUAAAAAAAUCCAUUUUCAUUCUUCUGCCUUCUCUUAUCUUUUCCUUCCAAAUAAAUAAAAGAAAAGAAAAUAAACCCAGGUCAACUAAGCCAAAAAGUCAGUGAGUGUUUUAAGCAAAGUGGCAUUUUUCUGUAUUUCCUAAUCCCCGGUGGUGAAAACCUGACAAUUCAAAAAUGAAUUAUUUUCUCAUAUUUUCUCUGCGUCUAAACUGAAUCUAUUUUUAUAGAAGAAAACAUUACCAAACAGCAAAGACCGUCAAUCUAACAAAAAUUUCAGUCUAAGCUGUAAUUCAAACUUGCAAUAUUUCGAUGUCUGUUCAAAGAGAAAUCCUAGAUUUCAAAACUUCCAGCAACAGCAUUCCCAAGUUAUAAAGCACUUGAAGUAAAUUCCGACCCUCUGCUUGGCUAACAAGAAAAUGAAUAAAGAUAACAGAAAACCACAAUUUUAUUCAUACGUUAUCUUUCUCACUUUCUUUGCUGCCAAAAAUCCAAAAAACAAAAAAUAAAAUCACAUCAACUAGCCAAAUAUUCAUACGAGUUUAGGGUAAAGCGUCAUUUUUCUGCAUUCUCGCGCCCUAGAUGGAGAGAAGUUUACUAUUCGAUUUUUUCCCCCAUUUUCUCAGCAUCCAAAGGAUUGAAUCUAACCUAUUUGCAUUUUCUCAGCAUCCAAACCAUUGUAUCUAACCAAGAAUUCGAUGGAUUGAUUGAAUUGGGUAGAGACAGGGAGCAGUGCCUUGAUUGAACUCAGAUCGAUCGAAACGCAGCGUUUGGAGAAAAAUACAGAAUGAUUCUCCGUAGGUCUGAUCAAGGAUGAAAGUUUCCAUUUUUUUUCGCCGAAAUUUCGGGUUUCGGUGGCCGGCGAUACGAAAGAGGGGGGCGAAAUGUCGAUGGGAGAAAUUUCGCCAAAUUUCGGUUAAAAUCGGCGAAAAAAUCACCGAAAAAUGGAUGCAGGCGAAAAAUAGGCGAAAUCUUCAAAAAAUCGCCGGACACUGCAAUUUAUCGGCGAAUUUUCGGUUUGUAUCGCCGAUUUUUUUUCCGAUUUUUCGGGAAAUUUCCCGAUAUUUCCUACCAGUCCAGCCCGCGCACAGGAUACAAAAUCUGAUCAUGAUUUGCAGGCAAAGGUUGUGUUUUUUAGCCUGGCUCAAAAAUCGUGGAUUUAGGGUUCGUGAAAUUUAAAUCCAAUGGCACAAAAGCAAAGCGACCCCUAGAACAGAUCCGGAAAACACAGGAAGCAAAAAAAAAAAAAGCAAUCUUUCUGGUUUUCCUUGGGGGUUUUGCAUGGAUUUUCUCAAAUCAAACGAUGAUGAAUUUUCCCGGAAAUCGAAUGGGGGAUGGAUUUUCUUGGGAAUCAAACGGGGUUGCGGAAAAAUAAAAAUAAAUAACAAGAUUAGAUUAGUACCUGGGAGGAUUGAGAGUGGCAGAGGAAAAUAGGGCCUUUUUAGGGAUUCUCUCGUCUGGAGGGCAACUUCACAAAAGGGCUUCUUGAUGGCCGAGUGAGAGAAGCGGUGGCCUUUUCUAUUUUUGAUUAAAUCAUGAGAACAAUUUUCCUCUCCCUGUAUAAAUAAUUAUUAAUUAUUCAUCUUUAUUUUGAUUAAAUCACUGCUAUGAACUAAAAUUUGAUUUUUAUCAUGAUAUUUUAUGAAUUAAAAUUAAUUUAAUAAGAUAAAUUAUUAAUAAUUUUAAUUAUUUAAAUAAAUUAAUGUUAAUAAAACAAGUUAUUACCAUAUAUUUUUAAUAAAAUUUUAUAAAUUAAAUCUCAAAUAAAAUAUUUUAUUGAUAUUUCAAUUUGGACCCCUAUGCAUCUGAUGGUCCAAAUUAAAAUUGGAUGUGAUCCAACAGUCAUAAUUGAAUCUCAAAUUAUGUGAUAAUAUGUAUAAAUUAUUGAUAUUUACUAAAAUAAGUUUUUUAUGAAACUUCAUAAUGAGUGUAUAAGUACAAGUGACAUAAUACAAUUAUAUAUAAUAUUGCAAAAGAUAUUAUAUAUAUAUACAUAUCAAAUAAAUCUUCUAUUUCACCCUCCAUAUAUUAUCCUUUUAAACAUAUAUAAAAUAUUCAUUAUAAUAUUAUAUCUAUAUAGGAUUAUGAAAUCAGCCCGCUUACAAGUUACAGCCCAAUAGGUCAAAAAUUGGGCCAGCCCAAAGCUCAGCCCAUUUCACCUGGCAGAUGACUCUGGGGAGUUUGCUUGCUGGCGUAAGAGGCACCGGUCUCCAAUCUGCAGAAAGGCGUUCGAUUUUUUCUCUCCAAACGCUGCGUUUCUUUCGAUCGAUCCCUGCGUUCAAGGUACUGUUCCAGUCUCUAUUCCCAAUUCAACCGAUCUAUCGAUCGACUUCUAGGUUAGAUAUAAACCUGUUGGAUGUUGAGAAACUAAUGUGAAAAUGAAAAAGAAAAAAGAUUGAAUCGUAAUUUUUUCACCAUUUAGGGCUCGAGAAUACAGAAAAUGACGCUUUACCUAAAACUCGAAUAACUCUUUGGCCUAGUUGAUCCGAUUUUUAUUUAUUUAUAGAUUUAUUUUUUAUUUAUUUUCAUUGCUUUGGAUUUUUGAUAGCAAAGAAAGUGAAGAGUGUAGUUUUUCUUUUAUUUUUCUUCAUUUUCUUGGUAACCAAGCAAGGGGUUGGAUUUCACUUGAAUGCUAUAUAUCGUGGGAAUGCUAGUGCUGGAAAAUUUGAAAUGUAGGGUGUCUCUUUGAACAGACGAGGAACAAUUGCAAGUUUGGAAUACAGCUAAGACUGAAAUUUUUGUUAGAUUGACGGUCUUUUUCUGUUUGGGAAUGUUUUCUUCUAUAAAAAUAGAUUCAGUUUAGAUGCACAUUUUGAAUUGUAAAGUUUUGACCACCGAGGGCUAGGGUUUCUCUUUGAGUGCUUUAACUUGUCAAUGCUAUUGCUGAAAAUUUUGAAUUACAAGAUUUGAUUUCAGACUGAACCGCAAUCCAGAAUUUUGGAAACAUUAUCUUGUAGAAUUGUGUGUUUAUGAUUUUUAAAGUGAAUUAUAAAUAAUAUAAAAGUGAAUUUAUUAUGAUUUUUAAGGUGAAUUUAUUAUGAUUGCUGCAGCUAAAUAAUAAAUGUGUAAUGUGGAAUAUGAGGGGAAAUAAGUUAUAUAAUAACUUUGGGAAGAAAGAAUUCUACAAACUUUUCAUACUUUUAUAUAUAGUAUAGAUUUUUGGAAUUGCAGAGACAUUUUGUGAAGGUCACCGAUGUUUGGAAUCUGAGAGUAUUUUUGGAAGCAAUUUGAGGAAAAAAAAAUCUUCAGAAAAAAGGUUGCUUCUACCCUUCACUAAGUUGACUCUAAAAUUUUCUGGGAAAAGUGAUCUAUGCAGAAGGUUAUAGAAAUAGCAUUUUGAUGUUUCCUUCAUUUCUGUACUUCAGUUUAAAUUUUAUUGAAGUCAUAUGUUGAAUUUGUGUCUGAAGCUUGUGAUUGCCUUGUAAAUAACAUGUUUAUGGAAUAGCAGAUUCAUGAAAUUCACAUUUGAUAUCUUACAUCGAGUCUGCAAUUUUUUUUUUUAAUUCACAUUUUUGUGUCUCUAAUUUUAGGUGCUCUUCAAACCGAUUCAGAUCACAUUGUUUUUGUUUCUAUGCUUUGAAGGUUAUUUGAAACAAGUGAGAGAUAUCUGUAAUUUGAUGGUUUUAUGAAUAUUCAUAUAACGACAUUCAGAGGAGUGCUAAUUCUUGGUUUCCUAUGGCACAUUGCUGACUUAGUUGUGUCCUGUCAGUGUGAAGAGUAACUGUUCUGUUUAAAACACGCAGGGGAAUGUAUUUUGAAAAUGGUUCUAGUCUCUGGGAUUGAGCUAGUUUAGACUAUAAGCUGCUGUAUAAAACCAAAAGUAUUGGUGAUAAGCUGAGUGCUGGGUUCUGAUGUUUCAUUUGGACAACUCAAAUUUUCUGAACUUGGAUCCCCAGAUAAGAAGCUUGUGGCUGGACCUGGUUUAAUUCAUGUUUGACAAAAGAUAUCAACCCCUAGUUAUUCCCCACAGUUCUAUACUGUAUCUUAUAUUUUCUGAAAUGGAAUGCAAAUGAUUACUAAAACCUUUGAUUUUCUGAGCAGAAGUGAUCUCUGGAAUUGGAGAUGGCGAGCACAGUAGAUGCAGGGGGACAUCCGAUCCCCACAUCAGCAGUACUGAUGGCAUCUUCAAAGCAUAUAGGGUCAAGAUGCUUCUCAGAAAAUGUGGCCUUCCUCAAAUGCAAGAAGCAGGAUCCAAAUCCUGAGAAAUGCCUCGACAAAGGCCGUGAAGUCACUCGUUGCGUCUUUGGCCUGUAAGGAUUAUCAGAAUUUCUACAUUUUUCUUUGCAUUAUAGUAAUCAUACAUUCCCUAAAAGUUUGAAUAUUCUUAACCAUUCAUGGCAAUACUUUUGAAUUUCAUGAUGGUUGAAUCAAACUAACUUUCAAGUCGAACAUUGAACAAGUUUUUUGAUUCAAAAUGCAGUCAUUUGCAUUAUGAUUUAGGUUUACAGCAUUGAUUUUUACCUCUAUGAUGAUUAUCCUUGCUUGCCAUCCCUUAAUGUAUUAACAGGAGUCCAGGGCACUUCUCAAGCCUCUAGUCAACUGCAAUUUAGAUAGAUGACAACCAUUUCAGGGAAAAUCCUAUUGUUAAUAUUUUCAGUCAUUGCAUUCUUACAUGGAAUAAUGUGUUGAACUUCAAAAUUCUUAAUUAUUACCAUGGAAUAUGGAUAAGCAUAAUAGCUGAUUGAAGGAACUUAAAAAGUUUGACAGUUUUGUUUUUUGAUAGGCAAAAGCACAAAGAUAUAUUAGAAAAAGGGUGCUUGAAAGGCAACCCGGAGCAUACAGGGAGUAUACAAGAGUCAUCUAAAACAAACAACAAAAACACAAGCACUCACCGGCCCUCAACAAGAACCCAAUCAAUCCACAAAGUUAAACAAAGAUAAAGGGCCUACAACUAUAGAAGAAUUAGCCUAGGAUAAGAGAUUACAAACAAAUGAGUUUUUCAAUCUUUGAGUCGACAAAGCCUCAUUAUCGAAGACUAUCCUAUUUCUUUCCUUCCAAACUGUCCAAAAUAAACAAAGAGGAACUGCCUGCCAAACCUUUCUAUGUUUCUUGUCCUUAAAAGAAACAUACCAACUUAAUAGAGUGUCUCUCACCGAAAACGGCAGAACCCAAUUAACCCCAAAAAGAGAAAACACAAGAUCCCACAAAAUCUUCGUCUUAGAACAAUGAACAAGGAUAUAAUUUAUCGUUUCCUCUUCAACGCAACACAUGCAACAUCUGUUGGCUAAAAUCCAACCCCUCCUCUUGAGUUGAUCUUGAGUAAAGACUUUCUCCCAAGAAGCUUCCUAAGCAAAAAAACUGACAUUUGUAGGAACAUAUAGACUCCAAAUAAUAUUGUCCGGAAACGAGAUUGCAUAGCUAUGAGCAAGAGACUUAUAGAGAGAUUUUACAGUGAAAAUCUCAUUUUUCGUCCCUUUCCACAGCAUCCUAUCCUCCCCAUCAACAUCCAACCUCUUCCCUUGAAUGGACGAAAGGAGUCUCUCCACCUCCUCCACCUCUCAAUCAUUGAAAGGUCUAAGGAAAUGUGAAGUCCACCCUCCCUCUUCCCCCAUUGGGUCCCAAUAGUCCGCAACCCGCGCAUCUUUAGAACCCGCUAAAUCAAACAAGGAGGGAAAGGCCUCAUAAAGGGGGGUGUUCUUACACCAAAUGUCUUUCCAAAACCUCACCCUUUUACCAUCCCCCACCGAGAAUGAUACAUUAUUGAGCAGUAACAAACCUUCCUUGCUGAUUUCCUUCCAAAGCCCUACCCCAUGGCCCUCUCUAGCCUCGCGAGUGCUCCACCCUCCUCUUUCAAUCCCAUACUUCGUACUAAUAAUAAGCUUCCAAUAUGAGUCUCUUUCAACCGCAAAACGCCAACUCCAUUUGCACAAGAGGGCUCUAUUAAGAAUGGAGAGAUUUCUAAUCCCCAAUCCGACAACAACCCACUUAACAAGAUGGAGCCUCUUCUCCAACGCUCCCCCUCCCCAAAGAAAAUUCCUUUGGAUUUUCUCAAGUCUUAAUUUAACCACUCUUGGCAUGCGCAAUAAUGACAUAAGAUAGGUUGGCAUGCUCGCCAAAGUACUCCGGAUGAGAGUGAUUCUUCUUCCCUUAGAAAUGAACUGCCUCUUCCACAAGGCAAGUUUCUUCCUCAUCCGCUCUUCCACUCCGUCCCAAACCUUCACCGACUUAUGCGAAGCACCCAUAGGGAGCCCCAAAUAAGUGGAAGGGAGAGAUCCCACUUUGCAGCCAAGCUCAGCUGCCAGUAACUCAGCAUUCUCCACUCUACCCAUCGGCAGAAUCUCACUUUUGUUCAAAUUAAUGCGCAGUCCGAAAAUGGCUUCAAACCACAUUAAUAACCAACUUAGAAAAGCCAAUUGCUCUUAAGAGUCAUCACAGAAGACCAAAGUAUCAUCGGCGAACAACAGGUGCGUAACUUGGUUCCCAACACCUUCCCUUCCCCCUAUCCUACAGCCUGAAAGAAAACCCCCUCUCACUGCUCUGUUAAUGAGACUACUUAAGGCCUCCAUUCCUAAGACAAAAAGGUAAGGAGAGAGGGGGUCUCCUUGCCUUAACCCCCUGGAGCUUUGGAAAAAACCGAUUGGAGAACCAUUGACCAAAACCGAAAAUGAAGCGGUGGAUAUGCACCAUCUAAUCCACCUAAUCCAUUUCUCCCUAAAACCCAUUCUUUGCAUCACUGAUAGCAGAAAAUCCCAAUUAAUGCGAUCAUAGGCCUUCUCUAAAUCCAAUUUACACAAGACCCCACUUUCCUUUCUUUUCAACAAGGAGUCUAUGACCUCAUUAGCAAUUAACGCAGCAUUAAGAAUUUGCCUACUUUCAACAAAGGCAUUUUAGGUUGAAGACACCACUUUUCCCACUACUUUUUUCAAUCUAUUGGCUAAGACCUUAGCAAGCAGCUUGUAAAGACCCCCCACCAAACUGAUGGGUCUGAAAUCGCUCAAGUCUUCAGCCCCACACUUCUUUGGGAUUAAAACUAAGAAGGUGGUGUUCAGGUUUCUGAAGAAUUUUCCCCUCUCAAAAAAAUCUUUGAAGAAACCCAAGACCUCAUCUUUGACAAAAUCCCAGCAGAAUUGCCAGAAUGCAAGGGAGAACCCGUCCGGACCAGGGGCCUUGUCCCCAUUCAGAUCUAAUAGGGCCAAGAACACCUCAUCCACAGAAAAACUCUCCUCCAGCCUGGCUGCCUUUUCAACCCCAAUGCUAUCAAACUCAAUGUUGUUGCAACAAGGACGCCAUCCUCUUGGAUCCGAUAAAAGGUCCUUAAAGGCCCUCACCACUCCUUUUUGAAUAUCAUGAUCUUCUGAAAGCCAGGUGCCAUUGACUUUAAUUUUUUUCAAGCAGUUCCUCAUUUUGUUAGAAUUUGCCAUCUUGUGGAAAAAUCCUGUGUUCUUAUCGCCUUCCUUCAGUCAAAUUUCUCUUGAUUUUUGUCUCCACGAAGUCUCCUCCAUUAGAGCCCAUUUCUUGAACUCCUCCCUAGCCUCCUUUCUCGCCUCUAGCUCCUGCUCAUUUAAAGCUCUAAGUUGCUCCUGAUUAUCCCAGUAGGAUACUUUAUCCAGAGCCGACCCUUUGUUCACCCCCACUUUACCAAAGACUUCUGAGUUCCAUUCUUUCAGUUUAAUUUUCAGAGCCUUUAAUUUUUCUGUCAAGAUGAAACUAUAGGACCCACUAUAAUUAAAUCCUUGCCACCAGCCCUUUAACAGCUCCUUAAACCCCUCCUCCUUCAACCACAUAUUCUCGAACUGAAAUGGAAUUGGACCUCUCCUCGUCCCACCCCCAUCUAACAGAAUUUGGGAAGUGAUCAGACACUGGUUCUUGGGAGAGAACACUGANCGUCCCAUUGAAAUGGNNNNNNNNNNNNNNNNNNNNNNNNNNNNNNNNNNNNNNNNNNNNNNNNNNNNNNNNNNNNNNNNNNNNNNNNNNNNNNNNNNNNNNNNNNNNNNNNNNNNNNNNNNNNNNNNNNNNNNNNNNNNNNNNNNNNNNNNNNNNNNNNNNNNNNNNNNNNNNNNNNNNNNNNNNNNNNNNNNNNNNNNNNNNNNNNNNNNNNNNNNNNNNNNNNNNNNNNNNNNNNNNNNNNNNNNNNNNNNNNNNNNNNNNNNNNNNNNNNNNNNNNNNNNNNNNNNNNNNNNNNNNNNNNNNNNNNNNNNNNNNNNNNNNNNNNNNNNNNNNNNNNNNNNNNNNNNNNNNNNNNNNNNNNNNNNNNNNNNNNNNNNNNNNNNNNNNNNNNNNNNNNNNNNNNNNNNNNNNNNNNNNNNNNNNNNNNNNNNNNNNNNNNNNNNNNNNNNNNNNNNNNNNNNNNNNNNNNNNNNNNNNNNNNNNNNNNNNNNNNNNNNNNNNNNNNNNNNNNNNNNNNNNNNNNNNNNNNNNNNNNNNNNNNNNNNNNNNNNNNNNNNNNNNNNNNNNNNNNNNNNNNNNNNNNNNNNNNNNNNNNNNNNNNNNNNNNNNNNNNNNNNNNNNNNNNNNNNNNNNNNNNNNNNNNNNNNNNNNNNNNNNNNNNNNNNNNNNNNNNNNNNNNNNNNNNNNNNNNNNNNNNNNNNNNNNNNNNNNNNNNNNNNNNNNNNNNNNNNNNNNNNNNNNNNNNNNNNNNNNNNNNNNNNNNNNNNNNNNNNNNNNNNNNNNNNNNNNNNNAGCUUCAUCACGCAACGCUUCAUCAGUCAACGACCCACUUUUCGUCACCGUAGAGGCUUCCGACGGCGACACAACUCUCAAUUUGUCGACGAUAGGGUCCUCCACUACAAAAGCUCCACUCUCCAAGCUAAACAUUUGAGCCCUAGGACAAGAGGCUGAAGGUACUUCCCCAAGGACAAGAAGGUCGGCAUCUCCUAAGCCUUUCUCCACGCCUGGCGAUUGUGCCCUAGCUCGAGGGCUCGAAAUUCCUUCCCCAUUUAAAUCUCCUCCUUCCGCUGCGACAGGGCCUACAAGCCCAAAGCCCGCUCCUUUCACCCCAUAAGUGACAUUGGGCCUUGAGUCACAACCCAAUUCCUCCUGGGUUUCUUUAAAAGGCCCUUGCCUUUCCCCACUUAAUUGAGAAAGGCCUAGAAUCACCCCAUUGACUGGCCCGUUGGGCCCAAUACUUGGCCUAAGAGCAGGGCUGUCCAGCUUAUUCAAAGAAAUCACAUCUCCCUCUCUAACCCGUCCAUCAGCUGACCCUAUUCUACCCUCCAUUGCAUCCCCUGCCUCAUAGAACACAGCAGGACAGAGGGUAGGAUCGCCUCCACAGGUUGACACGUCACUCUCUCCCUGCUGCAACCUCAACUGCUCCACCUUCUCCCUUUGACUUCCACGGCUGAGAUCACGAUCUGUUCCACCAACCUCUUCUCCUUCCCUUGAGCUACCUUCCUCGCUGAAACUUCCCGCCGACACCACCUGCGUGAACCAGGGGGAAGACUCCCACCAAAGUUGAAGGGAAUAACAACCCGACCCCACAACAAUAUGGGCAGUGCUGGGAAACUCCCUGUCCACGCACCUCACUAGGAUCCGAGCCCAUUGCAUCUCAUGCGAAGGUGAUUUAUCUGCUGCUAUGAAUCCUCCACAUUCAUCUCCAAUUCUUUUAAACACCUCCAUGCUUCUUAAAUGAAGGGGGAGUCUGAUCACCCUUACCCAAACUUCUUUAGCAAUGGGCUCCUUGCAAAGACACCCCACCUCAGGGUUCCAUCUCUCCAAGACUAUAACAUUCUCCUUGAAGUUUCUCAGACCUCUGGCUAAAACACGCUCAGCCUCGCUUGGUAACUCGAAAUCAAAUAGCAAUAAUCCUCUGCCUAGUGUAGCCACCCUCAGAUUCCCCUUCAAAGCCCAAUGCUUCGGUGCCCAACUUCUUACGUACUCCACCUCAAGGCAAGGAGCUGAACUAGGACCCCACCAGCCUACUAGACACUGACUCAUUUGUUCUAUUCUUCCACGCACUACUCUUUCCCCCACCUCUAUCCAAACUGACUGGCCUACCCUUCUCGGGCUUUUCCUUACAACAUCUGCAUAUGUUUUCAGCUCCACCCCUUUCUCCCUCCAUUGGACCUUUGAGCCCCCUUUCGCCCUCAACAAGUCCUCUGACCCUUUAGGACCCUGCAAGCCACCUAAGGGGGUCACACCAAGAUCUCUCGGCCUCUCAGCCAAGGAAUUCCAACCAAAAGACUGUCCCUUCCCAUCUGGAACAAUAAUGCUGUACUUUUUUGAAUCAAUGUCACGAACUGAGCAAAAGAUGAACCUUCCUGCCCCAUUCGAACGACGCUCCAACCUAUACUUUCUAUUCCCCUCCUCCCAGCCAGAAGCCUAAACACUAUUGUAAACCUCUCUACAACAAUCUUCCACUCCAUCUAGUAAGCACCUUAAGCUAGCCUCCCUGAAUCUAAUCCAUGAGGAGACCCUUUUGCUUCUCUCCAAAAUGCAACCUCUCAGCUUGCCUCCCAACUCUUCAAUCAAGAUCUUGAAUGAUUUGGCCUCCACCACGAAGCAACUUCUUCUCCCCCUUGAACCACCAGCUUCACCCCAUGCUCUCAUCCUCAUGCUUUCCUUCCAAACUAGGGUGCUUUUGUAUCAAUUCAUAUGCCUUUUUAAAUGAUUCUGACGUCAUUUAACUCUGACUAAAUGAACCUAAAGCAUCCCAGCUUCCAUUUACCCAUGAUUCACUGCUAAUACAAUGACAAAAUCAUAAUCUCACACUCUGAUCAAAUCUGCCCAAAAAUCCCUUAUUUGCACUUUAAAAAAGUUUGACAGUUACCAAUUUGUUUGGGGGGAAAUGAUUUGAGGGCAUUAAAUAUGUGAUUGUGCUGGGGGUAAGUAAAGAUCUGAUCUUAAGUACAUGAUUAAUGACAUGAAACAAAUAGGCUAUAGAUUUUGGAAACAAAUUAGGCCUUGUUUGGUAAUUGUUUUUGAAAAUAAUUUUUAAGAAUAGUUUUUUAAAAUUGUUUUAUGAUGUUUUAUAGAACAAAUAUUUGUUUGAGAACUUAAAAUGUUUUUAGCCCGUUUUUUGUGUUUUUAAAUAUGUUUCAAAUAUAACUUUUAUAUGUAAUGUUUUAUUUUUAAGCAUUCUCAUAUUUGUAUGAUUAUUUUUUAAAACAACCCUCAUAAAACAACUAAAAGAUGUUAUUUGAAAACACUUUAUUUUUUGUUUUUAAGAACAUAAAAUAGUUUUCUAUUUUUUGGUUGCCAAAUGUGUUUUCCUAUUUUUUUGUUUUGGAGAACAAAAAACUGUUUUAAAAAUAGUACCAAACAAGCUCUUAAUAUUUGACAAAGCUAAUUUUGUAAUGUAAUGAUUACUGAUUAGUCAUGUUUAUUGUGACUUUGUUAUGUUUGAAACUAUUUUCAAGUACUUUGGGUUAGAGAAUUUUGUUGUAUGGCUACAUUUGAAUAAGUAGGAUUUUUGUUAGGACAAGGAAAGUAUAAAUAUAUUUUUCUUAUAAGGUUAUGUUUGGUUGGAUAGAUAUAACAUGAGAUAGGAUCCGAGAUGAGAUUUUUUUUUUUUUUGAUAGGUAAGAAAAGAACUAUUAAAAAAAGGCACCAAAAGAGCGACUCAAGGUAUACAGUACCUAUACACCCACUGCCAAACAUACCAAAAAAGAACAAAUAAACAAGCACCCGGUUGGGCCAAAAAACAACCUUAGCUAGAGCCCAACCAAUCAAUAAAACUAACUAAAGUUAGAGGGUGAUAAGCCAUAAACAACUUAGCCUUUGACCAAAGAGAAAAAACAAAAAAGUAUGAGUCUUUGGAUUGAUAGCACAUUAUCAUUGAAGGCCAAUCCAUUUCUCGCAUUCCAAAUCGUCCAAAAUAUGUAAAGAGGAGUUGCUCGCCGCACCUUCUUGUGCUUUUUGCCCACAAAUGAACCAUGCCAACUAAGGAGAGUUUCUCUAAUUGAGGAAGGCAACACCCAUGAUACCCCAAGCAAAGUAAAGAGCAAAUCCUAUAAAACCCUUGUUUUUUUACGUUGAAGAAGAAGAGGGUCUAUAGUCUCUUCCUUCUCAUGGCACAAAAAACAUAUAUUUGCCAAGGUCCAUCGCCUUUUUUGAAUUAAAUCCAAGGUUAAAGCUUUAUCCCACUAGCCUCUCAAGCAAAGAAGCUAAUAUUGGGCUGCACCCACACAUUCCAAAUGCAACUUGAAGGAAAAAAAGAAGGGUUGCCCGCCUCUAGAGCAAGGUAGAGGGAUUUGACCGAGAACUUUCCACUCUUUGUUUUAGAAAUGAGAUAAUAUGUCAUAUCUUAUGUUUGGUUGGCUAUAAGAUAGGAUAACUUAUCUCAUCAUUUAUUAUUAUUUUUUUUUAUCAGUAAGUAAUAUGUGUAUUGCAAAAGAGGCGCUAAAGAAGCGACUCAAAUAGAUACAGUGUAGAACAACUCACCCCCUUACAAAAGAACCCAAGCCCCACUAAGAAAGCACAAAAAACCCUCUCCCUUAACGCAUACACACCCAUUCAAUAAAAUCUAUUAAGGUCGAAGGACCAUAUUUUAUCUCAUCAUUUAUUAUAUCCCAUGUUUAAGCAAACAUGGAAUAUGAUUAGUGAUGGGAUAGCACCUAUAAAAAAAAAGGUAAGUGAUGGGACAACAUAUCCAAUUUUUAUUUAUUUAUUUAUUUUUAUGUCCCCAUUGCACAGGAUAUACUAGUCAUAAGUUGAGAUAUAUGAAUCAUAAAUUUAUUCUUCUUAUGUAUGUUCUUCAUUUGUUUUUCCUCAAAUUUUUUUAUACUACUCAUUUUGCAAAACACAAAAUUUUGAUUAAAAAUUAAAUUUUUAGUUCCAAAAGGAUUUUUUUUUUAAAAAAAUAUGUGAAUAAUGCAACCUAAAAUAAUAUUAUAUACUUUUAGAACUAAAAAUAAAAAAAAUGUGAAUAUUACAACCUAAAAUAAUAAUAUAGAUUAGUAUUAUUUAAUAUAUAAUAUUUUUGUAUAUUUAAUAACAUAAUUUAACUUUUUCAUUUAUAAAUUCUAGAUAAUUUAAUCAUAAAUAUUAUUAACAAAGAAAUAGAAAAUUACUUACUAAAUUAUAAAUCGUAAAAUGAUUUCCAAAUAGCAUUAAAUAUGAGAGAGAUUUUAUUUUUUUAAUAGAAUAUAUUGGGAUGCAAUGUAUUUUUGAUUUUAAGGCGCCCUUUUUGGGUGCUUUCUUAAUAAAUAUUUCUUCUUGCUUGCCUAUCAAAAAAACUAUAAUCGAAUCUCUUUCCAUUAGAGAUUGGAUUGACUCAAUGCUUUAGCUUGUAGUAUGCCCUCCAAGAGGGCUACUAUCUCAACCUCAGUGGCUAAACCCUCUCUAGUGGGUUUAGAGAAUGCCAUUAUACAUAAUAACCUGUGAGCGAUUCUCCAAUCCCUAACUGUCUUAGAUUACUUCAAAAAAAAAAAAAAACCUCCCUUCAAAUUUACAUGAUUGAUAUAGAACCCAUUGGAGGCAGUAUCCAAAUCUCGUUUUUCUCCUCAACCAACCUCUUGGAACCACAAACAAGGUUUCAAAUUUGGUACUCUCAGAAAAGUACGGGCAAAGGCAUCAUCUGAAGCACUGAGAGAGGAAAAGAAGUAAGCCAAGUCCUAAAUUGCCUCCUAUAUUCACUAACCAUCCUCAAAAAUCCUUGCAUUCCUUUCCUGCCAUGUCAUCCAAAUGAGAGGACCAUUAUUAAUACACCAUGGAAGCCAGCCUGUAAGUAAGUUCUGGCCAGAGCCUGAAAGGAAAAUCAUCUCUACCAUCUUUUGUGAAUGAAACCUAAUUAAUCCCAGCAAAACCUGAAUAACCUAUGCUGCAUUUAAAUGCUAACAGGCAAUGUGGUCUUUGAUUGAUUUUGUAGAUUGGUUGUUUGUUAAGGGGAAAUCCUUUUUUUUUUUUUUUGGUCCGUCUCCUUACUACUUAGCUUUUUUUGGGCCUUAUUUGCAUACUUAGUGUGUACUUGUUUUGCCGCCUUUUAGAUGCUUCUAAUGCAAGCCCCUUUUAUUACCUAUCAAAAAAAUGUGGGUGAACAACAUUGUUGUCAAACUUCUAAUGCUGAUCAUAGAAGGAUAAGAUUCACAUGCCUUGUAUUAUGGUCCAACUUCUGUUCUGAGCACCUAGGCUAAUUGGAUCUCAGCUCCUCGAUCAUUGGUGUAACAAACUCAGGUUCUAAUUUAUGAUUCUAUUUUAAGAUGUUAGCCAAAUAGCAAUAAGCCUAAUCCCAUACAUUACUACUACUCUACUCAUCUGAAAACACUUUUCCUCAUCCUGCACCCUACUCCACAGAAAAAAUGGAAUAAUACCAUACUGAGUAAAAAAGUGGCCAACCACUAGUAUAUUCGCAGUCUGCACAUUCCAAGCAAAGAGAACAAACUUUAGCGAUAUAGAAGCUUCCCAGUUUAAAUUGGCUGGGCUUGAUUCUUAUCAACCUAGAGAAGAGCAUAUUAGACUCAAAAGGAGCAUCUUAAUGAUAGUGAUCAGGGAUUCAACUGAAAGUAUAUAUGUGGUCAUGCCCAAACCCCUCAGCUCCUAGAUCCAUAUUGGUUUAGACUUACAAUCCAUUCACGGAAUUUAUUGAUUCAUUUCGGCAGUAACUUUAUAGAUCCAUGCUUCUCUUGUUGGUGGGUGAAAGGAGAGAUAAAUAGGUUGUUUGUGAUUGGAGGGAGGGAGGUGGGAGUUUUUUGCCAUUUGCAUGCUUCUUUGGUGUUAGAGGGGAUUUUUGCCAUUCACAUGCUUCUUCGAUAUUCAACUUUUGCUGUAUUACAAUUAUUUAGUAUCAUUCCAAUUAGUAUUUUAUUUGAAUGAGUUUCUUCUUUUCUAUAUUGGGCAUUAUAUAUUCUUCAUAUUUGUUUCUUGUCUUAUUUGUUUUCAAUGUUUAAUGGACAUGGUACUACAACUUAAUACUUUCUUUGGCAUCCUUUAGUCUCAUAGAUUGCCUAAUGCUAUGUUUGGUUCCCGAAAAAUUUGAGGGAAAGUAUGAAGGAAAGAAAAUAGAGAGGAAAAAAGGAAGAAAAUAAAAAAUCAAGGAAAAUAAAAAAUAGAUUUAACAUUAAUAAAUUAUUUUUAUAUGUUUCUUCAAAUUCAUUUUAUUUAUUUUCUUUGAUUAUAUAACGAUUAAAUAAUUUUAAAAUACAUAAGUUUCUAACUAAUUUUAAUUAUAUUUGAUUUUUUUUCGUAUUUUUUGUAGUAAAACCAACAUGAGAAAACCAUUUUCCUUAACAUAUAUAUAUAUAUAUAUAUAUAUAUAUAUAUAUUUUUUUUUUUUUCUUGGUUCUUUCUGCAAACCAAACAUAGCCUAAAGAUUUUGUUCCUACCCGUAUGCAAACAACUUAUGUAGCUAAUUUAUUUGUAUCAAGGAUUCCUUUAUAUAUUUGCAUAGUCUAUUGUUACUUUUUGCAUGAUUUCAAAUCUUGUGUCAAUACCCUACUUUGAAUUUAGGGUUAUUUGAUUUAAUAUCUCACCCUUUUAAUAAAAGAUUCUUAAAUUUAUAAAAUGUUAUGGAGUAAAUACCCUUAAAUAAACCUGAUACACUUGCAUCACACAGCUGUGCGUGAGUCAUGUGCCUAAUGACACAUGGAGGUGCAUAUAAUAGCAGAUUCUAAAUUAUAUGAUAUUUGGCCUGCAGGCUGAAAGAUCUUCACCAGAGGUGCACAAAAGAGAUGGAUGCUUAUGCUGGUUGCAUGUAUUACCAUACGAACGAGUUUGAUUUAUGUCGCAAAGAGCAGCAAGAGUUUGAGAAAGCAUGCCCCUUGGAAUGACCGGCCAAUUCCACCUGUAAUCUCGUUCCCCCAAUAAUUUAGGGCAGUCGGCAAUAAGCAGAUACUGUUGUUGCUUGCUCUUCUAGUGGAACUGUUUCUGGAUGUGGAAUGCCUCCCGUCUAUAUGGUCCAGUUUGUUUCUAAUUCUGCCAAAUUGGUUAAACAUGCUGUCUUUUUUCAUCGUAAGGAUUUUCUUUUUCUCUCCUAGUGGGAUUUGGUUCAAAAUGCUUUUGUGAUUAUGUGUCGCCCAAUCGAUGGCGGCUUCUGGGGUCGUGGCUCAGGAAUCUGUGAUUUUGAGUUCGACUCAUAAUUCAUUCAAGUUUAUCCGAUUUCGUGGCUGGUUUGUGGACAGCCACGUGCCAGACAUGGAUUGAUUAAAAUAAGGGGAUGUGAUUAAAAAGGGAGGUUGCAAUUUUAGGAAUUAAUCGCAUGCAUCCACCCAAAGUGCCGAAUGCCAUCUAUAAGAAAAUGAUAGAAUGUCUUUUGAUUUUAUUAACAUUUGUAAAAUGGAGAUCGCAGCAGCCAGAAAAUAUGAGUGUAGAAAAUGAUUGGUUGCUUACUGCGAAUAUCCGGAAAAUGAUGGCAGGGUGAUGCGAAAGAUUUGUAUGCGAAUGGUGGAGGCCGUCGCUGCCCUUUCAGGCUCUUCAAAUUCCACUCCAUAGGAUCCAUACAACAUAAUUCCCUUUUACGGGUUCACCGUCCUUUUUCUUUUCACUCUUAUUAUAAAAAAAGCAUAAAUGGUUAAAACGUGAGUUGUGGGAAAGCUACAUUUCUUACGUGGCAUACAGGGUGACUUCCGCAUCGCAUCGCCCCCUCCAUAUUCAACACUCUCGUAUUGAUAAUCUUAAAUUAAUAUUUAUAUUAGACUUACGCACUAUGAUCUCGUUAAUAUUUGUAAGAAGAAAAUUACUGCUUUGAAAUGUUCAUGAUGGUGACCGAUCAUCUAUCAAGCGGCGCGUGAGGAAGCAACUCGAGGGCUCCAACUUUUCUUGAAGGCUGAUCCUUGUAAUUUUUCUAAUAGGGCUCCAACUUUUCUUGAAGACUGAUCCUUGUAAUUUUUCUAAUAAAAAAGGAGGAUCGAAGAUGUUGUCAUAGUUGAUUCAUUUUAUGGAACAAGGGCCUUGCUCUACUCUGAUUUCGAGUCAUCACCUACCGAUAACCGCCGCCACCCACCCAGCUGUGUCUCAUCUCACCUACUGUGUUCCGUCGUUUCCGUCUCUUUUACGCUAAUCAACCUCUCCAACCACUGCCACAUAGGGUUUGGUUUUGUUUCCCACAAAGAUGGAGACAUCAUCACUUCCACCGCCGCUGCAACAAUCGCCAUCGCCAACGGGAAGGCCGAGGGUUUCAGAGAUGGAAGUUCAACAUCCGAUGACCGAAGACGCUUCGGCUCUAUGGGAUUGGGGAGACCUUCUCGAUUUCUCUGUUGACGAUCCAUUUACCAUCUCCUUUGACUCCGAUCACAAUCUGGAGGUUUCGCCGUCACCGGAGCCGUUGACUCGCGAGGCGCCGGACGCUCCAGAGAGGGUGCGGAAGCGGGAUCCUAGGUUGACCUGUGAGAAUUUUUUGGCGGGUCGGAUUCCUUGCGCGUGCCCGGAGCUCGAUGAGAUGAUUUUGGAGGAGAGUGCCCCGGGAAAGAAGAGGGUCCGGACUGCGCGACCAGCCGCGGGAAGGGCUCGGUGUCAGGUGACGGGUUGUGAGGCUGAUAUUAGUGAGCUGAAAGGGUAUCAUCGACGGCAUAGGGUUUGUCUCCGUUGCGCGAAUGCUAGUGUCGUUAUUCUGGAUGGACAGAAUAAGCGUUACUGUCAACAGUGUGGGAAGUAAGCUCAAAUUUUCGUCAUUUAGGGUUUCGAUUUCGAGUUGUAGAUAAUGAACAGAUUUGCAUAUGUCUGUAUAUAGUUCGGUGCAGGUGUUAAUGUGACAAUGCUGGAUUUAGUUUUCUAUUUCCAAACGAAAAAUCGCUUUAACAUCACAAUUAUUAACAGUGGGCGCUUAAAGGGAUCGGAUGUUGCUACUCUAUUAGCAAAUCCUUCGGCAAUUCCUUCGGCCCACUUCAUUUUUGCUGCUCUUCAUUGAAAUUAUCAGUUAUAGCAUUAUAUAUUUCCGGCUGAGAAUUAGUCAAAUUAUGUGAGUGAUCCCUUUGCACUUGCAUUGAUGUUAGUUGGGGAACCUUUUAUUAUGCAAAAUGAUUGGAUCUUGGGGAUUGUUGGUUUUUAAUUAUCACAUCCCAAAUUUGAAGGUAGGUGUCCAAUUGUACUCUAAAAUAUGUGGAAGCGAAUAAUAGGCAGUACUAAAUUUAAAGUGAUCAUGUUCUUUAUCAUCUAUUAAUACUUUCCUUUUAGAUGGUUUAGGGCCCUUUUCAACCCUUUAGCACUGGUGUUACAAAAGUUCAAGUUGCUAGGUUUUGGGCCAACGAUGCAUAUUAAGCCGGCCAAUUUGGGUUAAAGCCUUAAUACCCCACCUCAUGGGCAGCCUUUUUUGGUUUGCAAAUGGGCUCAAUAAAUGGAGGAAAUGAACAAACAUUGAGGUUUGAACUCAUAACCUUGAAAACAAGUUAUAAUACCAUGUUAAACUAUCAAUUUCACUCAAAAAAUUAAGCUAUUAGGUACUGAUCUGACAGUGCAUAUUAAGCUUAUUUGGGCUGGAUUCUUAAAAUGCUCUUUUUUGCCUAGAAAAAGGGAAAAGAAAAAUUCUGUGCUUUGCCUGUUUUUUGCUUCUCUUGGAUGCAUACUAUUACUCUGCUUAGCACAUCCCAAAGUGACUCAACAUGCAUUUACAUGAACUUUUGCAUGCGACUGCCACAAGAAUGUAGGGAUUGGGGCACAUAGAGAAGUUAAACUUACUGAUAUAAUUUAUCAUAAGAGUUACCUAUCAAAAACAAAAAAAUAAUAAUUUAUCAUAAGAGUUUGGACACUCCAACCCUUUCCUGUUGAAUGUGGAAAUGCUUGGUUUAGGAAAAGUUUACCUGAUCAGUUUGUUCUGUUUACUAUUUAGAAUUUUAUUUUAUCUUUUUUAAAAAAAUGUUCUGCUGGUGUUCCACUUCUUGGUAGGUUUCACAUCUUGUCAGAUUUUGAUGAGGGUAAACGCAGUUGUCGAAGAAAAUUAGAGCGUCACAAUAAUAGACGACGUAGAAAACCUAUUGAUUCUGGAGGCACGGUUGAAAAGGAAAUUCAAGGGGAACUUAUAUCUGAAGAUGCUGCUCAUGAUGGUGAAGCAGAUAAAGGUAUCUGUUAAAGCACAUGAUGCAUGAUAUGAUACACCUUUCAUGCAAAAUGAUGUGUCAGACAUACAUGUAUAAUACACUUUCACCUAUUUUAAGUAGUUUUUGAGAAAAACCAAUUUAAAUUUCACCUAUUUUAAAUAAAUAGUUUUUGAGAAAAACCAAUUCAAAUUUUAUUUCUUAAAAUGAUUAUCAUAUUAGGGUUGAAAAUGGAUGACAAAAAAGUGAAACUGCAUGGAAGCAUUAUGCAUGCAUUGUUAAUGGCACAUGUGGAAUAUUGAAGGUUAAGUGCAAUUGUUGUUCGAAUGAAUAUUGGGAGGUGUUAUUUCAAUGGAACAUGUACCAUUCGAAUAUUAACUUUGAGGAUGAUUUUUGUGUCUUCGUGCCUUUUUUGGUAGUUUGGUUGCUAUUGUUUUGUUUGUAUACACUGUGUAUACCUUUUAAACAUGGCACAUAAACUCACAUAAUUUUUGUAUUCCAUACAAGCAUAUACUAUAUAGUUAUACUUUUAUAUGAUAUAAUUUUUUUGUUGUAUUCGUUCUAGACUUGUACAUGCUUGAACCCUUUGGCAUGUGGCAUGAUGGUAUCUUUUAGUAACUAGUUGGAGUUUAGAACUUUUUUUCCCUCCCAAUUUUAUUACAAACAAACAUUUCAUUGAUAUAAAAUAAUGAAGUUCAAAGAAGAAUGAUAAUUUCUUACCCCCUCAGGGAGGUAGAAAUCCCCCACAGAAGAGAUCAAAUUUUUAGCUCCUUGAUUUCCUAAACAAAUUCACCAAAUGAUCGGCAAAGUGAGAAAUCAAACAAAAGGGGCACCUCAAUUCUGAAGCAAUAUAAAAGAUUUGGUGAAGCCUUGCAUCCAACUUCCAUGAGCCUCUUUCUUUCUUAUUCAUCUAAGGAAUGACCACCUUUGAAUCUCCCUCCAUUGAAAGAUAGGAAAGACCCUUAGCUUCAGUGAGCUUCAACCUUUCCAACAAGGCUAGAGCCUUUGCCUUAAUGGCUAGAACCUCUCCUGUAUGUUUAGAGAAUCCUGUUACAAAGCUAGUGUUUCAAGCUGAUUCCUGAGUGUCCAUCAAAUUCAUAUUUGUCCUGGAUUAUCCCAGAUUACUUGAAGAGUAUCCAUCCAAAUUUAGUUUAACACAACCCACUAGAGGAGUCCAAAUAGGGAGUGUCUCCUUUGACAGCCUAGUGGAUUUGUCCACUAGGUUCCAUUCUAGCAAUAUAAUAAACAAAGGAAUGCCCUCAAAUGUUACACAAGCUGACAUCCAAAAGGAAACGGAGAAAUGGAAUAAAUCUCACAAUGCCUUAAAAGUCCUUCAUCUAUCCUAAAAAAUCUUGCGUUCUUCUCCCUUCAUCCCACUGAACAGUCCAUAUUAAGGUGUGACUAGCAAUACAUCAUAAUGACUUGCCUCUAGGAAGACUUUCAAAACCUGGGUAAGAAAUAAUCGACAUCUCCACCACACUUCGAGGUGAAACCCAGUCAAUCCCAGCAACAUACAGAUUUUAGAAACUUCAUUUUGUGGAUUUUCUGAUGAAUAAAUACAUAUCACAUGUUUAUUAAAAAUACAAUAGCAAAGUGAUACAUGAUAUGUUUCAUGAAUUGACAACUAUGCUAGUUGAAAACUGUAAUAUCAUCAACUUGAACUAAUCAUUAAUGUAACCUUACCAUUUUUCAUGACAUUGGUUGUAUGUUACUUUUAUAUUUUUGUUCUUGUGUGUGUGCGCACAUGAAUGCGUGUGAUUCUUUCCUGUUUUUCUCUAAUACAUAGAAAAACUUACAAUACACAAUUAAGAAAAAUGGAACAAGGAUGCUUGAUAUGUUUUAUGAAUUGAUGGAUGGUAGUUGACAACUAUAAUAUUUUCAACUUGAACUGAUGUCACUCAUCUGUGUUUUGUUUUGGAGUAAAUUUUUGUCCCCUUCUUUAAUUAAGGACAAGUAAGAGGUUGUAAUUUAUAUAUGAUGGUGAAAUGUGAUAGAAGAACUUGUAUUAUAUUUCUGUAUGUUCAUUGUGAAUUUUUUUCUAUAGGUUAAGUCUGCUUAGUGAUUGAAAUCCUUCUGCUAUUUACAUGUAAAAUCUGUCUUGAUAUUCCACUUAACUGUUCUUCAAAUGGCCUGACAAAAUUGUUUGUUGCAUAGAUAGUUUGUGCUUGAGCAGCCAGCUAAUCGAAAGGGAACCAUUGUUGGAGUCUGAAGAUGGACAUUUUUCCACCCUUUGCUCAGUGCCUGGUUCCCAGAAUAUUCAGAGCGAUGGUAUUGUAUCUUUUGUGGGUUCUGGAGAAGCCCAAAUUGAUGGAGGCAAAAAUGAUUCCAAAUAUACCCUUUCUUCAUCUUACUGUGAUAAUAAGAGUGCUUACUCAUCCCCCGUGGGUCUUCUCUAAAUGCCAUAAUUGCUUCUGUCUUUACUUUUUCAGUUUUUUUGAAGAUGUGUAAUUGACCUGAUAUACUGGUUUGAUGUUUGCUUGUAGUGCCCUACGGGUCGGAUUUCGUUCAAGCUCUAUGAUUGGAAUCCUGCUGAAUUUCCCAGACGACUUAGGCACCAAGUAUUUUAAAGGAUUAUUAUUACAGUUUAGUAUUUAUAUGAGAAUAAAUGUUUUUAUAAGUCAGAGAUACCAGGAAUAUAUUAACACACUGCUCAAUGUGUUUACAGAUUUUCCAGUGGUUGGCUAGCAUGCCUAUUGAGUUGGAGGGCUAUAUCCGUCCUGGGUGUAUCAUCUUAACAAUUUUUAUUGCAAUGCCAAAGUUUAUGUGGGACAAGGUAUGUUUAGAGAUGCUUUAUAUAGCACUUUUUGGGGUUACAGUGAGGUUAAUGUUGUUGACUACAUUGUUAAUGGGUGAUGAUUGGUAUUUGCAUACAAUUGUUGAUGUAACUAUUCUAUAUUACUUAUUAAAUAUUAAUGAAUUAUAUAUCACCAGUAGCUAUGUGCCAUUGACAUUUAUAUAAAGUAACUCUAAAAAUCAUUAUUCUUUUACCACGAUCUGUAUGUACCUCCUUGCUGUCUUUCUUGCUUAUUCUUUUAAUCUUUUAAAGAAUACUAGCUACAAGUUGUAGCCAGAUUACUCAAUUUCAACUCCAAUGCUGUGUUGCAUCGAGCAGUUGUUGGAAGAUCCUGCUUCAUAUGUACAUGACUUUGUUGCUGCACCUGGAAAGAUGCUAUCUGGAAGAGGCAAUGUACUUGUUUAUCUAAACAACAUGAUUUUUCGUGUUACAGAAGGUAAGUUGACACCUCAUAUUUUGAUCCAUCAUAUGUCAAACAAUGCUGCGAUUUUUAUGUUUGUCUCUCUUUGAAUUUAGGGUUUUUGUUUUUGUUUUUCCUUUCUAGUUUUCUUUCUCAAAGUUCUUUGCUGCAAUGCAAGUGUUGUGAUGAUAAGUAUUGGUGCAUGGUUAAUGAAGGAUAACCCUUUUGAGUGUUUUUUAGACAUAGCUUCACAACCAACCACCUCAGCAUGAUUCCAUGUCGCAAGUAGUUUUGGAAUGAUUGCAUCUGAAUGUUCCUUUAGCAUGCUAUGAGUAUAUGUUCAACAAUUUAAGUUUCUCAUUGCAGCAGGUUUGUUGGCUUAGUUUGGAUUUUUUUUUUUCUAAAAUAUUUUUUAGGGAAGGUGCAAAAGAAAACAUUGACCAAUAUGAAAGGGAAGAAUAAGACUUUGUGUAUAGGAUUGUCUACUUCUUGGAAGGAUUUCUCAUCCUUCUUUGUACUUAAUAUUUUAAUGCAAUUAAAUAAUUGGUUCCUAUUAAAAAGGGGGAGGAGGGGUGAAGAAAAGUGAUUUGCCAAUAAAUACAUUGUGGUCAUGUUGUCAUUACAUAAAUGCUGCAUGAGUUGGAUCUCAUUUGCAAAUAGAAUAACAAUCAGAGCAUAUGAUCAUGUGAAUUUGGAGCUCCCUUUGCAUCGUUUGGUCGGAGAGGUGGAGAAAUUGGAUUAUGGCUUGAAUAAGACAUAAUCCUGAGUGCUCAUGAAUAAGAAAUAAACUGGCUUCUUUUAGCAUUUGGAGAAGGAAACGAAGAAGUUAUCUAUCAAACAAGAGGGGGAAAAAAGAAAGAAAGAAAGAAAAAGAAAAAUGAAAAAAAAAAAAAAAGGAGCUCAAGGAGUUUUUUCUAUAGCUUGUCUUAUUAGGUGAAUUCUUAAGCUAAGGUUUGACAGGGAUGGGUUCCUUCCAGAGUUCCUUGAUGAGAUAUAUUUUAAUAUUUAGCUCUGUUUUCUGUUUUUUAUGUCCUUUGUUUAUUGGGUUCUCCUUUUAUACUCUGUUGCGCUCUUUGCAUUUUAAUGAUUUUCUUUACUUAGUCUAAAACAAUAUUGCUUGAAAUCUGUCUCUGUAGACAAGUUGCUCUUCAUCUGUUGCAAUCUGAUCCUGUCCUUAGUCCUGGUUUUGAAUUCUCAGUUUCCAUAAAUACCGUGUUUGACCUGUUAAAAAAGUGACCUGUUAAAAAGAAGGUGUGAUUCUCUGAGCUUGUUUAUACUUGUUAACAUGUUUUAUGCAUUUUCAUGGGUAUAGAUGGUACUUCUGUGAUGAAAGUUGAGGUAAAGAUGCAAGCCCCAAAGCUCCACUAUGUGCAUCCUAACUGUUUUGAGGCUGGUAAGCCCAUGGAGUUUGUUGCUUGUGGAAGUAACCUGCUUCGACCUAAAUUUAGGUGUGUUGUUAACCUUUCUGUAAGCAGCUUUUUAUAGGAUACUAGAUUCUAAAGUAAAUAAUUUAUCAAAAGAACAAAGUCAUCAAUGUAAAGAUUUAGUUCUCAAGUAAAUAGUUAGCCACAUAGUUGCUAAAUAUGUAUGGUUAGUGUUUCACUUCACUGGGAUGUUGAAAAACUGUAAUGAAAUGGCUGGCUUUUAACAAUGAUGGUUUUGUUGGCAGGUUUCUAGUAUCUUUCGCUGGAAAGUAUCUGUCUUAUGAUUACCAUGUUGUGUUCCCUCGGGGUAAGAUUGAAGGUGACACUGCUGGUAGUUUGGACCAUGAAUUCUGCAAGAUAUACAUCCCUCAUACUGAGCCCAAUGCCUUUGGCCCUGCAUUUAUUGAGGUUGGUAGUUUAAGGUUUUAUUUCUUGCUUUUCUCCUUAUCUCAUGUUGAAGUUUGAUUAUCCAUGGUAUGUUUCCAAAGUGGGCAUAUUUGGUAAUGACUUUGAAGUCAUAUGUCCUCCUUUUGUAGACAAAUUUUAUGUAAUGUGGAAUAGUUUUGUAAAUGAAGGUAAAAUCUGGUUUUUCUUGCGUUUGCGAUGACAUGACUCACAGGAUUACCUGUAACUUAACUUUUUAUUGAACUUACACUGAACUUGUUCAUUUGAUAUAUGGCAUGCCAGAUUGUCCAUUGUACCUAUGAAAAAAUUUCCUUGCCAAACCAUUUCUAUGUAACAUAUCUUUUGCAUUCAUGACCAUGUGUAUACAUUGUAUAUGCUUUUUGUGCUCCUUAGGUGUUGUUAAUACAAUUGAUAUUUUACCUAUCCAAAAAAUAUAUUCAUGGUCACACAGUUGAUGUUUAACCAGUUAAUUGACUUAAUUCGGAGUUUGGCGAUUCAGUAUCCAGUGUCAAGUCUCUUGUGUAACCUGGAUGUAGUCAAUGAGAAUAGCCCUCUGCUUCUGGGUUUUAAUCCUCAGGCUAGAUGCAGAUAAAUUUAGUGGAACCUUUGGGUAUUUGGGUUUGUACAGAUUAGUUUCUUAAGUUAGAAACUUGCAUCUGGAGUGGGUCUUAGAAUUGCAUUUGAUGCCAUCAGAAGAAAUGGUUAUGCACUCAACAUUUUUCUUUUUCAAUCUGUAGGUUGAGAAUGACCAUGGCUUAUCCAACUUCAUUCCUAUUUUUAUUGGAGACAAAGAAAUUUGUUCGGAAAUGAAGAUAUUGCAGCAUAGAUUUGAUGCAUCUCUCUGUUCCAAAGGAUCACAGUUUUUUGCUAAAGAUCCAUCUGACUCGUGCAAGGUUUCAGUAUUGGGACAAACCGCAUUUUCUGAAUUUAUUUUAGAUAUAGCCUGGAUACUCAAGGAGCCUGCAUCGGAGAAUAUUCAGCGAAGUUUAACCUCUUCACAUAUUCAGAGAUUUAAUUGUUUACUGAACUUUCUAAUACACAAUGAGUCGACCACCAUCUUGGAGAAAAUAUUACAAUCUCUGAAGAUUUUGAUAGAUAACAUGGACUUAAACAUUCAGGUUAAUGGCGCCACUGAUACUGAUUUGAGGCUGCUUUAUAAGUACAUGGAUCAUGCUAGUAAGAUUCUUCAUCAGAAACUUCACAGUAGUGGGGGUUUAGUACUGCAUUCUGGAAAUUCUGUGACAAAAGGGGAUCAUCCUAGCUGCUUCCACAACAACAUGCUCCCUGUUGUCUUUCCCCCUGAGGUGAGAUAUUUUAUUUUCUACAUUUGGCCAUUUUUUUCUUGAUUAAGGUUGACUUUCAGGAUUGAAAUGCUGAUCUAUUCUGCCUUAUUAAGACCUAUUGAAUUUGCUUGGUUAUCAUUUUUUUUUCCUCCUAUUUUCUCCUCUUGCAUAUGCAAUAUAUUUAUAUGCUAACAUCUCAUGUAUUCAUCUGCUAGUUAACAUUAUUGUGAUGAAAUGUUUACAUGGUUUUGCACAAACAUCAGCACUGGCAAAUCUGGUCUAUUGUGCAGAUUCAUGUAAGAGCAUGUAGAGUGAUUAGUUUUCAUUAUUUGGAGCUUAAUUCUCAUUUUAAAUAGGUCCUGCUAUUUUUUUAGCGGUGUCAUUUUUUUCCCUCUUCAUCCACCUCUAUAGGGGUGUGAAAGAGAAGGUAUCAUGUAAAUGGUCUAAUUUGGUCUGAAACCAGCCUUAGCCUGACAACCUAGGUCCAGGCUGGGCUUCAGUUCCAUUUGCAAAGAUGCCCUGCUGCCUGCAUUUUCCACCUUCCUCCUCUCCCAGAACUUGGUGUGCUAACCACAGCUAGUUUUUAAUUUUCAAUUUUAAUUCUUUUAAGUUUAUUUAUUUAUUAGUAUUACUAUUUUCUUGCCUUUUCCAUUGUCCCGUCCCUUGCUUUUCCUCCAGCUCAUGUGUUGUGCAGAGCUCAAGUUUACCUAAGGUGUUUAGUUGCCUCUUUUUACCUUAUGACGGGCAUUUACCAACUCUAUGAGAAACGGAACUGUAGGAAAGGGUAUAAGAUAAUGGAAAGGAAGGGAAUAUAGGGAAUGAGAAUCGGAAUCUGUAAUUGCAUCAGAAUGUCUACUUACAAUGUAGGAAACAGAAUCGGAAUGAAGCUGAUUACCUUUGAAGUGUUCACUAAUCAUAGAUGAAACGGAAUGAAAUGUGCAUUUUUACCAUUUAGCCCUAGUACAUGUAAUUUUCACUAUAUCGUUGGAGAUAAAAAAAAAAUGCUAUUUAAAUGGAAUUCAAAGUGAAUAAAAAUUAUUUUUCUAACAUUUGCAUUUAAAAAAAAAAGAUUUUCAUCAAUUUAAAUUUUGGAACUACUUUUUAAAAUUUAAAAUAUUUUUUAUGUUUUGAAGAAUCCGUGAUUUUUACCUUAUUCCUAAAAAAUUUGCUUUAAUAGGCAAAUAUUUAUUUUAAUGAUUUUAAAUAUUUAUUUUGAAUGUUUAAAUAUUUAAAUCUUAAUUUUAAAAUAUUUAGGAUUAGUGGGAGGAGCAUUUAGGUAAAUUUAGGGUGAAGAAAAUUUUGAUUCUCCAAUGCUUGGAAUCGGAUUCUUUGGUUUUGGAGGAGAAUCCCAUUGCUCCAUUGGAAGAAUGAGUUUUGUCAAAUAUUUUGAUUCCUGGGGAAUGAAGUAAACGGGCCCUAGGGUAGAGACCAGGCCCUAGACCUGGAGUCAGCCCCAAGGCCUAGCCAGGCCUUGGUUUCCAGAGUAAACCGGCCUAAUUUACAUCCUUAGUGACUGGCUAUAUAUUAAAAUUCAUGACAAAUGAAUGUCGGCUCUUUUGCUUUCGGAAGUAUUUGGAAUCUCUUACUGUUGGUAAGAGAUGGGGGGGACUACCAAUGAGUACUCAGUGAGACUUUGCAUUCAACUAUUGUCUUAUUCCAUGAGAUGUUUAAAUAGUUGGAACUAGUAGCAUUUUUGGUUUGAUUUAAGCACCUUUGUUUUCAACUAUUUAAUUAUAUUGAUUCCUUGGAGUUGCAGGACACAAAAAUAAGCGCAAACGGUGGGUUGGCAGCAAUGGCAAGUUCAACUUCUACAGAUAGAAGUGAAACUGUCUCACUAUUGAACAGAGAGGUUGUUAUGAAUAUGAACUCAAUCAAGGAACAGCCAAGGAAAUCCUGCAGCCUUAUUUUCUCAAAGAAAGCCAUGACCUCACGACCUUUUCUUUAUAUGAUUGUUGCCGCUGCCGCUUGUUUUGGGAUAUGUGCUGUCCUUCUCCACCCUCAUGAGGUUGGCAAAUUGGCAGUGUCUAUCCGCAGGUGUUUGUUUGACAAUUCUUAGAAGUUUUGGCAGAAUGUCUGUGCAUUUCGUCUCUUGUUUUAUGCAUAUCCAAUGUCCUUGAUAGGAAAUGUGAUUAAAGGUUCCUGAAAUCCCUUAAUCUGGAUGUGCUCAUCGUGUGCCUCUAUUUGACUCUGUACUGGCAGUUGGUAACUGGCAAACUGCUUGUUGCCCUUGCACCAUCCCGAGAUAUGUAUCUGAGGCAAAAACUGAUGUAGGAUGUUUGAUUGUAGCCCUAGUUUCCCCCUCCCCACACCCUAGAGCUGUUCUUAUCCUAAAACACCAGAAAGCAGCUCCAGCUUAGCCAUUUCUCUUGUACAUUUAUUUUUAUGAUGGACGGUUGGAGAGGCUUGUUUUGUGGUUAAAUAAAGAGGGCUGGUGUUGUGAUUCACCUUACUCGCUGGUAGCAUUUUAUAAUAUAUAUAUAUAUAUCCUGAACAUUGCAGUGGUUCUAAUUUGAGUUAUGAAGGCUCUAUGGUAUGUUUUCUCACUGUUACAUAAGCUAAGAUGACACAUGGAUUGGUAUCGGUUCUGGGAAGCAGGGUUCAGAGGUUAAAAUACAUCUGAACACAGAUUGAACUUGGGGCAGAGGAUGUUGAAAUUGGAUUCAAAGUUACUUAAUUUGAUGGUUAAAUUUCUAAGCUUUUGAAAAAUUAAGAUGGAGCCUUAAGGCCUGUCCUUUGAGAUCUCCUCAUCAAAUUUCUACCCUUGUGGGCAGAUUAUCUAGUAAACGUUACUUUCAUUUAUUGGGAACACACCAGUUUAAAUCAUUUAUUGGUUCAACCUUCAACUCAGGCCAUUACAACUCAUUCCAUAUUUCAAUUGACCCUUAAGCAUAUAAUGAACAUGUUCCCUCAUGUAAAUGUUAUUUGUUCUAGCUCUAAUAAGUCGUGUUUACACAACUAAGAUGAAAUUAUAAUAUAUGUAGUGUUAGAAUUUUUUUUUUCUUCCAAUUUGUUGUAAAAUAAAUGUCGUCGUUGAGUCCCUCCCAUGGGAUUGCGAUGUUAGAUAGACGAAUAACUCUUCUAGGGUUAAACAAAUCGAGUCUUAUAUUGAUGUCAAGAAUGGUGCAAUAUCUAUAUGAUUAAAAGUGAGUUAUUACAAAUGGUUAAAGCUCAUUCCCGAACUUGAUGUGAGUUUUUAUUUAUCUAUCUUGCAAUGUGUGUUCUUCAAUCUUGUGAAACAUGAGGACUAUGCCUAUUAGAAGGGUAUGUUCCUUUGUCUGGUGAAGCACAAUGAGGGUUAUGGCUAUGAUAAGGGUGAUUAUGAUUCCUACAUCAGAUAGGAGAAACAGUUGACACUAGAUAUUUAUGGACUUCUUUUAAUUAUAUGAAUGCAUUUUAAAGCCUUGAGACCAUUGGACCCAAAAUGGACAUACAGGGAAUAAAUCAUUACAAAGCGGUAAAACAUAUUAACUUUCUUGCACCCCCAAUUCAUAUACCCUGCCUUGCCUCUUACUGGACCAUGAAAAGGCAAUGAGAUCAAGGCUUUCAUAUAUAUAGAUAUAUAUAAUUCCUUUGAUGAUAUAAUCCCCCUUAACACAAUGUGUUUGGGGCUGCAUUUAUUGACCAAAUCUUAACCUCUCCUCAGAGAUUGAGAGAUUCAAUUGUUCAUUGAACUUUCUAAUGUGCAACCGGUCCACCAUCAUCUUGGAGAAACUGUUGUAAUCUUUGAAGAUUUUGAUGCAUGACAUGGACUUCAAAAAUAUUUAGGUCAAUGGUGCUACUGAUACAAUGAUUCUGACAUAGUGACAUGAGGCUUGUUCAGAAAUACCUGGAUCAUGGGAAAGAGAGAUUCUUCAUCAGAAACUUUACAGAAGUGUGGGUUUAUCACCACUGGAUUCCAAAAAUUGUGCGCCAUGGGAGGAUCAUCCUGGCUUCUCCCAAUGACAUGCUCCCUCCUGUCCCCUCUCCCAUUGAGGUGAGCCAUUUCUUUUUCUGCUUUUAACCAUCCUCUUACUGAAUAUUGUUCCAUUUCUCACUAUUCAAAUUGCUUAUGGUGGGAUUUUUCAUAUGCUAAUAUUGUAAUGAUCCGGUCUUAAUCGUAUAUAUAUUGUUCGCUCUGAAUUUAGAGUUCUCACAACUUGGGCUCAUUAUGAUUGGUGCUUAGUACAUCCGAAGGGAAGGUCAAAGACCCAGGAUUUGGGCCCAUUAUGAUUGGCGCUUAGCACAUCCAAAGGGAAGGUCAAAGACCGAGGACCGUGACCCCUCAAUCACACCAAUUGUUUAUUUGUUCCUUUAAAGGAGACGUCCCCGAAAUUGAACUUAGGACCAAACCCUUAAAGUUCACCUAAAUGUCAAUUUUGAUACCAUAAAAUGUGCCUUUAAAGGAGGUGUUCCUAGGAAUUGAACCUAGGAUCAAACUCUUAAGGUCCACCUAAAUGUCAAUUCUGGUACCGGGCUACUAAGGUUCAAUCCCAAUAGAUACAUUUUAAAGUGACUCUUUGAACCAGAAUGUACAACAUCUACCAUUAUCUGCUGGUUAACAUUAGCGUGAAGAAGCCAAACAGAUUUAACACCAUAUUAAAGCCUUUUAUCCUUACGGAUGGGGGGAGGCCUACCAUCAGGGAGGAGGGCAAACCGGCAGUGAAUUAGCCGUACAAUAAUUGCUGAGUGGCUGACCCCAAACCCAAAAAGAAGAUUUCUGGAUAACGUGAGCAGAUCAUGUGGUAAACAUUCCUGUCAUUUUGUGGGCAAUAAACCAAUAUUUCAAAUCACUCGCUAGCUUCUUCAAGCUCUCAACUCAGGUUUCCUAACAGCCCAUACGUUUGAUGCCAAAGUCAGUACUUAUAACCUGACAAACCAUCAUGUGACAUUGCUGGCCAUUAAUUGACAAACUAAUCUGAGGAACUUGCAUUGGAUUGAUUUUUUUUUAUAAUAAUAUCUAAAAGAUAUUUUAAUUUUAAGAGGGAUUAACGGUUUAGGAUUAAAAUAAUGUCAUAUUAAAAAUAAAAGGACAAAUAUGGUAUUAUAAAAGUUUUAUCGAAAUCUAUAAAGCUUCUUCCAUAAGCCAAAAGGUAUCUUCGGGAAAAAAAUUAUCUUAUCAUUACUUUUAUGUUCAAGACUUUUCAAAUAUUAUUAGGGUCUUGGUCGGAGUAGGUUUUUAUUUAUUUUCUAUUUUUGAUUUAAUUAGAAAUUAAAAUUGAAGUUAAUGUCAUAAUUUAUUUUUAAAGACAACAUUAUUAUCGAAAAAAAUAAAAAAACUUCUUAAAUAAAAUAAAAUAAAAUGGAGCUUUUAAAAAAAACAUAUUUUUUUAUUAUUUUCAUAUUUACUUUUUUAAGUCAUAAAUUCAAAGCACAUAUAAAAACUCGUAUGGAACUUAAAAAAGGGUUUUUGAUUUUUAAAUUAUUCAAAAUCAAUGGAACCAACCAUUGUAUGGUGAGUCACAUACAGCUAUUUUUAGCUCAUAUAUCAUUAAUCAUUUUUGGAAGUUUAUCCUUUUUGAGUCCAUCAAUUCUCACUUCCAAAUCAAAUGUUAUAUAACACUUUGAAAAUUGUUUUGUGAUGUUUUGUAAAAUAAAAGUUUAUUAGAGAACUUAAAAUGUUUUCAAUCUAUUUUUAAUAUUUUUAAAAAUAAUUUUUAUAUUUAGUGCUUUAAUUUUAAUCAUUCCAUAUAUUUAUACAAUUAUUUUUUAAAAUAAUAUUAAAAAACUACAUAAAAUCAAUUAAAAAAUAUUUUAUGUUAUCUAUUUUUAAGAAUAUAAAAUAAAUUUUUAGUUGUUUUUUAGUUUUUAUGUUCUAAAUAAUAGAAAACUAUUUUCGAAAAUAAUUAUAAAACAAACUUUAAAAUUUGUUUUGGGAGUCAUUUAUUUUUUGCUUGAGCUUUAAAUUAAAAAAGAUACUAAUAUUAUAAAAUUUUUAUUAGAUAUGAAAUACUUUUUUUAUAUAAAUUAAAAUAAAGCUUUCAUAUGAGUAAUAUUUUUUUAUUAUUUUCACAUUAAUUCUUUUAAUAAAAUUAGUGGGGACAAAAAAAAAAUAUUUUUAACCAAAAAGAGGGCUUACAAUUAAUUAACUUGAAUUACUUCUUAUCAGAUUCAAGGGCUCCAAUGUUCUAAUCCCAAUGUUUUUAGGCUCAUGAUCCCUAAAAUCAAUAUAUUAUUAUGAAAAUAGUAAGACCUCGUUUGGGAUGGUUUAUUUAUUUAUUUAUUUUUAAUCAAAACUUAAAAUGGAAGCCAAGAUCAUAAUUUUAAAAAAUAAUAUUAUAAAAAUUAUAUUAAACAACAUUUAUAUCAAAUUCUUUGAAUUUCUUAUUAAACUUCAAAAAGGGUUUUCUAACUUUUGAGAGGUCAAUCCAAACAGCCCCUAAGGAAAGAAAAGAAAAAUCAUAUUUAGUUUUAUUUUGAAAAUAUAAAAUAAAUUAGAAGUAAAAAUAAAUAAAAAUAAAAAUUUAUGAACCUUAAAUGUGUGUUUCAUUUUUUCUACUUUUUCUUUUCUCUCAUUUAUCCCUCUUUAUUUUCUCUCUUAAUUUUCCUUCAAAAUUUUCAAACCGGACAAAGCCUUCCUUUUCAAGAUAUUUGUUUCCCUUCUCUAUCAAUGGUUAUGAAAGCAGUAAGAUGGCAAAUCCACAGGCUUUGAGCCACCUGACAACUGUUCUUCAAUUUUAAAUUCCACAUCCGAGUAGGAGCCACGUACGCGUGGAUAAUUAACAAAACAAGAAACCAAACGUGUACAGAUAUAUAUAGAUGAUUCUGAGUCGGAAGAUCACAUGUGGAUUUGUCUGGAUUUGACCAUUUCUGCGGCUCCUCCGUUUCCAUGAACUGAUGAUGAGUUGGUAGCUUCACGUCAUUGACAGCUACAUACCUCACAUGCGUCUCAAGCUCUUCCACCCUUUUCAUUAAUAUCUCAAUGAUUUGUGUGUUCAUAUCUAUAUAUAGCAGUCCCAUCUCCCCAUCUCCUUUUUCAUAUAUAUUAGUCCUUAGUGCUAGCUCAUUCUUAAAUUUUUUUCGUAGACACCAUUCUUUGAUUCUUUGUAUUUGAUAUGGGAAUCCACCAACGUGAAGAUGUUGAGAAGGGUGGAAAAAAUGGUCUUGAGGAUUUGAAGAAACCAUUAGUUCAAGGAGAGAAGAUUAUUGUUUCCAAUGAAUUAGGGUGUGAGACUGAUGGUAGCAGCAGUCAGAAUGGAUCCGAUGGAUCGAUAUGGAUGGUUUUGCUAAGCACAUUUGUUGCUGUUUGUGGCUCCUUUGAGUUCGGAUCAUGUGUGAGUACACUGAACUGUAUCUGAACCUUUUUCUUUU